rnacentral:lncRNA from 1 species
GCUUUUGCUCUUGCUCUUGCUUGGAGCUGGGGCCGGAACCUCAGCAGUAGUUGGUGCAGCAACAGGAGCCGGAGGAGAGGCCGAGCUCUCUGGUGGAGUCGUCGGUGCAGCAACGGGAGGCGAUUUGGCUGGAGGAGAGCUCACAGGUACUGGAGCAGGUGGAGAACUCACCGGAGCAGCAGCCGGAGGAGAAGAAGCCGGAGCAGAUUUAGAUGGGGCUGGAACCGCCGCAGACUUCUCCGGAGCCGCAGCCGGUGGUGAAGAAGUUGGUGGGGAAGUGGUAGGGGCAGCAGUUGGAGCCGGUGAUUUAGGUUUGCUAACAGGGGCAGUAGCGGGAGCAGUAGCAGGAGUAGCCGCGGCCGGCGGAGCUUUAGUAGGUGAGGCUGCCGGAGAUUGACCACCGACAGCGGUUACCACAAAGCAAAUCAAAGCAACUGCAAAUGCACUUCUACGAUCCAUUUCUUGAAGACAGAGGGAGAGUGAAGUAGUAACAGAAACUAAUGACAACGAGACGACAGACUCUCAAUAAAUAUAUAAAUAAAUGAGGGAGAGAAUCAGAAAAAAUGAUGAUUAUAAAAAGAAAAGAAGAAAAAGUUAGGAACGUGUUUGGAUCAGAAAUAGCCGUUGGAUGAGAAGCUAUUUCGGGGCCCACCGUCAUCAAAUUGUAAUGUGGCGAUCAAGACUCGACAGUCUGGAUUGGGGCCCACAUACAUGAACCAUGUAAUUUGUUGUUACAUUACCUGAUUAGGGUAAACUACACCCAAGGUCACUGAAGUAUUAAUAAAUUUACAUUUCAGUCGUUUAACUUUAAAAAGUUACAAAAUAGUCACUAAAUCAUUCGGAAGUUUUUAUUUAAUUCAUUGAGAUAUUAAAUCUCUGUUAUAUGGCUUUCUUUAUUCACACGGCCUACACCAAUCAAAAGAUCUUAUUCUCCUUCUCUUCAACAAUUUAAUUAUUUUCAUAGAAUAAUUUUGAAUGUUAUGAAUUUACGAAUCAAAAUUCAAACAGUUUUCUUUUUCAAUCUCUUACAAGGUAUGUUCUUCUACUCUUUGAUAGGUACUAAUCCAUUGUAUCAAUCGUCAUAAAAAAAUACUUAACAAUUCAAUGACUUAAAUAAAUACUUUCAAAUAAUUUAGUGACCAUGUUGUAACUUUUUAAAGUUAAGUGACCAAAAUAUGAAUUUACUAAUAAUUUAGUGACCUUAGGUGUAGUUUACCCUACUAAUUAAUAUUAUAAUAAAUGUUUAAUUCUAUCCCCAACCUCUGUACUCUUUGGGGUUUUAAAAUUUAGCCUUCCUACUUUUGAUUUUAAAAAUUUAGUUUCUCUUCAUUUUUAUUUAAAAGUCCAAUUCAUGAAAACUUGGUUAAAUUUUAAUAUUCGAAGCUUUGAUCUAAAAAUAAUAAUAUAUAUUUAAAUUGAAUGGAAAUGUUAUUAAUUAAAUUUUAAUUUUUAAAUCAAGCAGGAGAGAUAGGGAAUUAAAAUUUAAAAUUAAAAUUUAAAAGCUGAAAGAGUAAAGGGGUUGGAAAAAAUUAAACCUACAAUAACUAAUUGAAUGAUACAAUUGUUAUGAAGUAGUGAGACAGCUGGACGUAGGGAGAGUGGGGUAUUGCUGCGCAAAGAGACAAACCAAUAGGAGGCGGCCGCGUGACCGGGUAAAGCAGUUACGGGUGAUAUUUUGAGAUGGGUCACCGACUCACCGGCAAGAAACUGUGUCUCUGCAAGCAAAACUUGUCUGGAAUAACGUGACGUGUAUUAUACUUAAACACCCUAACCUUUUCUCUUUUCGUUAAAAAUUGUCAAGUGGCUAAGGCUUUUUUUUUUAUCAUCUAUAUAUUAGAGUUUUAAAAAAAGUUUUGCAAAAUAGUUGAGUUGUGUAAUUAUUUCACCUCCACCCUUUGGCCUCUCUCGGUACAUUAUUAUGUAAAAGUGAGUAUUCCACUGAAUCGAUUAAAAAAUUUUGAGUUAAUUGAGUUAACGAGUUUUAUUUUAUCAUUCUAACUCGAUUUAAUUUUUUUUCAAAUUGAAUUGAGUAAAAUAAAAUUCGAGUCGAUUCGAAUGAAAUUGUUUGAGUUAAAUUAAAAAAUUAAACAUGUUAAAUUAAAAUCUUGUUAUACUAUAUAGAGGUGCUCAUGGGCCGGGCGGCCCGGCCCGGCCCGACGGCCCGCCCGAAAUAUGGGAGGGUUUGGGUAAAAAUAUAGGCCCGAAAUAUGGGCUUGGGCAAAAAAAUGAUGCCCGAUUUAAAAACGGGCCGGGCCUCGGGCACAACUUUUUUGGCCCGGGCCCGGCCCGGCCCGGCCCGAAUAUAAUAAAUAUUUUUAUUAUUUUUAAUUUUAAAAUACUUUUAAAAUACUUUUAUUAAAUUUUUUAAAUUUUUAAAUUUUUUUAAAAUACUUUUUAAAUUUUUUUUAAUUUUAAAAUAUUUUUAAAAUACUUUUUUUAAUUUUUAUUUUAAUUUUUAAAAUAAUUUUUUGGUAAUUAUUUAAAAAACGGGCCGGGCCGGGCCCAGGCUUAUGAUUUUUUUCCCAGGCUGGGCCUGGGCAAAAUUCUAGGCCCAUAUUUUGGGUCGGGCCAAAAAAAAUUUUUGGGCCCGGCCCGGCCCAGCCCAUGAGCACCUCUAAUACUAUAACUAAUUCCAUGUUAUAACACAUAAAUUUGAAACCAUAUAUAUUUGAAAACUUUUUCAAAGCAGAAUAAAAAAAUUACUUUAGUAUGAUAAACUUGAAUCAUUAAUUAACUUAUUUAGGUCCCAAAAUUAUUAUUCUAGAAAAUUUUUAAUAUUUUAACUUUCUUUAUAUUUUUUUAGAUUUUUUUUUGAAAUUUUUAUAAUUUUUAAAAAGUAUAAAUUUGGAAUUUUUAUAAAUAUUUUGAAAUUUUAAAAUUAUUUUGUAAUUUUUAUUGAGAGAGUGGUCAAUUUGUUCAUUUUCAAACUUGGCAGAGACCAAAAAGGUAUUUAUACCAAUAUGUUAUUCGAAUUAUUCGAGUUAUUUUAAUUGUAAAAUUCAACUCGAUUCGAACUCGAAACUCGAAUUACUUACUCGAGUUGACUUGAAUAAUUCAAAUAACUCGAUUCAAUUAACUCAAAAUUUAAUUUUUUUCGGAUUAAAUUGAAUUUUGCUCACUCCUAUUAUUUUGCACAGCAUCACAAUAUAGAUUUUUCGGUUUUAAAAUAUCGCCGAUCUAUAUUCUUCUUCAAUGCUAUAAAGCUCGACCCUUCCACAAUCAUUAUCUAUACAUCAUCAUCAUACAUUGUAUGAAUCGUAGAAUAUAUUACUGGAUUGUCAUAUAUAAUAAAUUUAUAUCUAUUCAUCAUCAUCAUACAUUAUACAAAAAUAUAUAAUAUGUCAAUUUACUACAUUCAUGAUAUGGAUUGAAAGAUAAAAAUUACACAAAUAAAAAUUACAUUUACUAAAAAUAAUGAUAUUUUCAAUAAUUAUUUGAUUUUAUAAAUAAAAGAGUUAUUAAUUAAAAUGAUAAAUAAAAAAUAAAAAAAACUUGAAAACAAUAUAUUUAUUAAUUAUAAAUAUUAAUUAAAAAUAAUAAAAAAGUUGAAAUAAAAAAUACAUAUUAAAAUUCUUAUAAAAGGAAUCAAACUUAGGACUGAAAGAAGAAAUCACAAUUAUCUAACCAUCUAACCAAAAGAGCUAAUGUGUCAAAAAUAUUAAUUUAAAAAAAAACUUAAAAUAACAUGAAAUAAAAAUUACAAAAGUGAAUAGGAGAGGAAUUGAACCUAAGACUUAAGACUAAAAACACUAACACUUAACCAUCUGAUCAAAAGAGCUAAGUUGUCAAUUUGUGAAAACAUGACACAUGUUCAGCUGACGUAGCUAAAAAUAUGCCCUAUAAGACGCAUUUUCAAUGACAUAGACAGUGAAAAUGCACCAUGUAAGACGUGCUUUCCUUUCUCUCUUCAAAACAACAUUGAUAAAUUUAAAAAAAACAACAUAGAUAAUUAAAUGUAGAUUUUUUUUUUCAGCAUAAAUGGAUAAAUCAACCUGGUAUAUAUUAAAUUAAUUAUAUUAUCUUAAUUAUUUAUUUGACUGAGUCUUAUUAAUGAAUGCCAAAUAUUAUAUAUUAUUAAUUAAUAUUUGCCUUCUGUUUCGAGCAAAUAAGAAAGCUUCAUAUUGGCCAUUUACACGCACACACGCAUAUAUAUCAUAGUGUAUUAUGAAUAUUCCAAGUGAAGGGAAUUUGCAUGCUUUUGGCUUUGGGUUGAUGGGAAAACGACAAAAACACCAAUAUUAACCAAUAAAAUUAAAAGCUUUAGAAUUAAGGACGAAUCACGCUUGAAAGUAGGCAUUGGGUCUAAUACAGUUUGUAUACAUUUGAUGCUUCAAAUAAUGCAUUUUGAAAGUUUGCUGCUUGGGCUUACAUUUUACAGGGUUUUGUUGUAGAGAAAAAGAGAAUUUUUAAUUUGUAGAGUCCUCUUGUGAAGUGCUUCUUCUGAUACGUGGCAAUUGUGAAUGUAAGAAGUUUCAUACAUGUAAGUCUGUCUGGUGUUUGCAGCCGGGGGAGAAGACGAUAGGAACCAAUGAAUAACGUCUCUCCUGGUUUAUGCCCCCAUGCCUAAUUAUUUUUUACUCAAAACUGUUCUUUCAGAUUAAACUAAAUAUUCAGAUUGAUUUGUAAGAUAUGCAUUUGCUGCCAUUUUAAGCUUUCCUGUACUUUCAUUGGAACAUUGUCUAACCAAACAACUCCUUUUUUCCCUGUAAUGGUUCAUGAGCUAUAUAUGAUCGUUUCAGUUUUGUUACUUUUACAAUGUUUAACCUGCACAAAUGAUCUUGGGAUUCAUUAGCAUUGGUAUUAGUAAAAUAAAUUGUGAUUUUAUUAAAAUAUAAUAGAGAAAUAAAAGACAGAAAAUGGGUAAAUGAAGGGGAAAAAAAAAAAGAAUGGGGGAAAUUACAUAGGAAAAAAGAACUAGAGUUUCCGCCUCUCAAUACACCAACCAAAGAAUUACAACGCAGAAUGUGGAAUGUGAUCAAAAUCAAUCUAGAAGCUCAAAGCAAUGGCUGCCCAUCCCAACGCCAACCCUCCAAUUAUCUUCUUCAUGUUCUUCAUUGCCUCUGCUCCACUCUGCAUUUGUUUAUAAUAACUCUUUAAAUGUUACAAAUAAAUAUAGUUUUAAGAUGAAAAAAAGAUCCAUUGGUCGGUCCUUUUUCAGAAAAGUAAAUGAACUAGCUCAACGGUGCAUCCUUUAGACGCGAUUAAAAGAAAAACAAGAUCUCUCUACAUUUAUGCAGUGUAAAAGUUCAGAUCUGAAAGCGCAUUGUUAUAUGAUGUAAGCUACUGAAGCGUUAGUAAAGCGAAGAGAAUGUACCUCAUCGGCAGCGACAGAUGGACCGGGAGAGGAAGCAUCGAGGCUAGGUCCAGGAGCUCCAGUUGGUGGAGCGGGAGGUCCAAGCAUAUCAGGUGAAGGAGCCGGAGCAUGGUGUUUCUUGGAUUUCUUGCUUUUGCUCUUGCUCUUGCUUGGAGCUGGGGCGGGAACCUCAGCAGUAGUUGGUGCCGCAACAAGAGCCGGAGGAGAGGCCGAGCUCUCUGGUGGAGUCGUCGGUGCAGCAACGGGAGGCGAUUUGGCUGGAGGAGAGCUCACAGGUACUGGAGCCGGUGGAGAACUCACCGGAGCAGCAGCCGGAGGAGAAGAAGCCGGAGCAGAUUUAGAUGGGGCUGGAACCGCCGCAGACUUCUCCGGAGCCGCAGCCGGUGGUGAAGAAGUUGGUGGGGAAGUGGUAGGGGCAGCAGUUGGAGCCGGUGAUUUAGGUUUGCUAACAGGGGCAGUAGCGGGAGCAGUGGCAGGAGUAGUCGCGGCCGGCGGAGCUUUAGUAGGUGAGGCUGCCGGAGAUUGACCACCGACAGCGGUCACCACAAAGCAAAUCAAAGCAACGGCAAAUGCACUUCUACGAUCCAUUUCUUGAAGACAGAGGGAGAGUGAAGUAGUAACAGAAACUAAUGACAACGGGACGACAGACUCUCAAUAAAUAUAUAAAUAAAUGAGGGAGAGAAUAUCAGAAAAAAUGAUGAUUAUAAAAAGAAAAGAAGAAAAAGUUCGGAACGUGUUUGGAUCAGAAAUAGCCGUUGGAUGAGAAGCUAUUUCGGGGCCCACCGUCAUCGAACUAUCAUACAAAGACACAUUGUAAUGUGGCGAUCAAGACUCGACGACAGUCUGGAUUGGGGCCCACAUACAUGACCAUGUAAUUUGCUGUAACAUUACCUGAUUAGGGUAAACUACAGCCAAGGUCACUGAACUAUUAAUAAAUUUACAUUUCAGUCAUUUAACUUUAAAAAGUUACAAAAUAGUCACUAAAUCAUUCGGAAGUUUUUAUUUAAUUCAUUGAGAUAUUAAAUCUCUGUUAUAUGGCUUUCUUUAUUCACACGGCCUACACCAAUCAAAAGAUCUUAUUCUCCUUCUCUUCAACAAUUUAAUUAUUUUCAUAGAAUAAUUUUGAAUGUUAUGAAUUUACGAAUCAAAAUUCAAACAGUUUUCUUCUCUGAUCUCUUACAUUGACUAUUAGAUUGACUUGGAUCUGAGGUAUGUUCUUCUACUAUUUGAUAGGUACUAAUCCAUUGUACCAAUCGUCGAAUCAUUGCUUGGAGCUCGCUAGCCGAAAUUUAAAAAAAUACUUAAUAACCCAAUGACUUAAAUAAAUACUUUCAAAUAGUUCAGUGACCAUGUUGUAAUUUUUUAAAGUUAAGUGACCAAAAUAUAAAUUUACUAAUAAUUUAGUGACUUAGGUGUAGUGUACUCUAGUAAUUAAUAAUAUAAUAAAUGUUUAAUUCUAUCCUUGGGGUUUUGAAAUUUAGGCUUUCUACUUUUGAUUUUAAAAAUUUAGUUUCUCUUCAUUUUUAUUUAAAAGUUAAAAGUCCAAUUCACAAAAGCUUGGUUAAAUUUGAAUAUAUAUCAUUUUAAUAUUCGAAGACUUGAUCUAAAAAUAAUAAUAUAUAUUUAAAUUGAAUGGAAAUGUUAUUAAUUAAAUUUUAAUUUUUAAAUCAAGCAGGAGAGAUAGGGAAUUAAAAGGUGAUAGAUUAAAAUUUAAAAGCUGAAAGAGUAAAGGGGUUGGAAAAAAUUAAACCUACAAUAACUAAUUGAAUGAUACAAUUGUUAUGAAGUAGUGAGACAGCUGGACGUAGGGAGGGUGGGGUAUUGCUGCGCAAAGAGACAAACCAAUAGGAGGCGGUCGCGUGAUUGGGUAAAGAUGUUACGGGUGAUAUUUUGAGAUGGGUCACCGACUCACAGGCAAGAAACUGUGUCUGCAAGCAAAACUUGUCUGGAAUAACGUGACGUGUAUUAUACUUACCCUAACCUUUUCUCUUUUCGUUAAAAAUUGUCAAGUGGCUAAGGCUUUUUUUUUUUUAUCAUCUAUAUAUUAGAGUUUUAAAAAACAGUUUUGCAAAAUAGUUGAGUUGUGUAAUUAUUUCACCUCCACCCUUUGGCCUCUCUCGGUACAUUAUUAUGUAGAUGAGAGUAUUCGAUCGAAUCGAAUGAAAUUUUUUUUAAGUUAAUUAAGUUAACGAGUCUUAUUUUAUCAUUUUAACUUGAUUUAAAUUUUUUUAAAUUAAAUUGAAUAAAAUGAAAUUCGAGUCAAUUCGAAUAAAAUUAUUUGAGUUAAAUUAAAAAAUUAAACAUAUUAAAUUAAAAUCUUGUUAUACUAUAACUAACUUCAUAUUAUAGCACAUAAAUUUGAAACCAUAUAUAUUUGAAAAAAUUUUCAAAGCAAAAUAAAAAAAUUUACUUUAGUGCGAUAAACUUGAAUCAUUAAUUAACUUAUUUAUGUGCCAAAAUUAUUAUUCUAGAAAAUUUUUAAUUUUUUUAACUUUCUUUAUAUACUUUUUAGAACUUUUAGAAUUUUUUAUAAUUUUUAAGAAAUAUAAAUUUGUAAUUUAUAAAUAUUUUAAAAUUUUAAAAUUAUUUUGAAUUAUUUUGUAAUUUUUAUUGAGAGAGAGGUCAAUUUGCUUAUUUUAAAAUUGGCAAAGACCAAAAGGAUAUUUAUACCAAUAUGUUAUUCGAAUUAUUUGAGUUAUUUGAAUUGUAAAAUUCAACUCGAUUCGAACUCGAAACUCGAAUUACUUAUUUGAGUUGACUUGAAUAAUUUGAAUAACUCGAUUCAAUUAACUCAAAAUUCGAUUUUUUUUCGAAUCAAAUCGAAUUUUACUCACCCCUGUUAUUUUGCACAGCAUCACAAUAUAGAUUUUUCGGUUUUAGAAUAUCGCGAAUCCAUAUUCUUCUUCAUUGCUGUCGAGCUCAACCCUUCCACAAUCAUUAUCUAUACAUUAUCAUCAUACAUUAUAUGAAUCGCAGAAUAUAUUAUUGGAUUGUCAUAUAUAAUAAAUUUAUAUCUAUACAAUUUAAUCGAAGCUUCGAUUUUCAAUUGAUUUUACACUUCAUCUUCAGUAAUAUGAUAUCUUUUAUGAACAUCAUAUUAAUCAGACUCAAAUAUUACAUUGAUAUUUAUAUCACGAAUUUGAACAUUAUAAUUCACCACAACAAAGAACAUAUUGCCCAUUGUGUAUAAAAUUUUUGUAUAUAAUAUCAAUUUAAAUUAAAAAAAUUUAUCAAUAUAUAACUAAUAAAACAAUAAUAUCAUUCUCCCUAAUAUAAUAUCUUUAACUAUAACAUAAACAUAUUUCAUUUAAAAAAAACUAUGCUUAAUGUGAUACAUUGGAUUAUAAUAUUAUAUAAAUUAAAAUUUAUUAAAUUAUUUUUAUUUUUAAUAUUUUUAAGAAUAAUAUUGAGGGGAAAUUAAAUUAGAUUCUCAAAUAUGAAAUAAAAUAUAGGAUUUAUUUUCUAAAUAUAAGGACGCAAAUUUCAUAUAUAAAUGAUAUUAUAUAAUUAUAUUUUAUUAUAUAAAUCAUAAAAAUCCUAUUUCAAAUAAUUCUUUUUAGUUUCAUCAGUCAUUUGUUUUUAAGAUCAACAAAUUCAACGGCGUUUGUAAAAUAAAUUUUUGUACAAAUGAUUGUAAAAAGUUAGCUCAAUAAUCAAUUUUUAAAAUUUUUAUCAUAAUUUUAAUAGAUAUUAAAAUAAAAAGUAAAUAUUAAACAUAUAUAAAUUGCCAUUACAACUUACUACAAAGUAACUUAUAAAUAUAUUAUUUAUAUUUAAAAAUAAUAAAAUACAUAAAAAAAAUGGUUUGUAAUGAUAUUCCAAGAUUGACUUGCCAUUAAUUCUUCCCAAUUCAUUUUUAAUCUAAAAAUUGUCUUGGUAUAUUAACGAUAAUAGAAAUUUGUUAUAUGGGAAGAUUAAUUUAUUUAAUUACAUUUUUUGAGAAGUUAAGAGCAUAAUAUAAAAUAUUCUAUAUGCAUUAUAAAUUAUAACUGUGAUGGUAAAUAUUCUAUAUACAAUUAAAAUUACUUUAUUUCUUUAAAAAGAAUACUAGCAAUCGUUAAAAUGAAUUUUACUAAAUUGGAUGUAAUUGAAGCAUCACGAUUACACUUUUUGAUUUUUAAGGAGAGAGUGAGAAUGGAAAUAAUUACGCAAAUAAUCACAUCACAAUCUAAUUUUUAAAAAUUAUUUUUAUACAAGUUAUAAAAAACAUGAACAUGUAUGAGAGUUUGGGAUGAUUAUUACCAAAAUUUUCUUAUAUUAUAAAAAUAAUGGGUAUUUUUAAAGUUAUAACAAAAAAAAUAUUUAAAUCCUAAAAAAGUCUAAAAUUAUGAAAAAAAAAUGUUAUAAAAGUGUUAUAAUAUAUUUAUUUAUGAAAAGUUAUGGCUAAGAAGUAUAAAAAUAAUAUACUUAUUGGCAUAAUGAUUUUUUUGCCCCUCCAACUUUGUUAGAGUAUAAUGGUAACGACUCUGUUAUUGUAAGUUGUUAGUCUGUUAUUCAAAACUGUUAUGUUGUUAACAACAGUUACUAGCAACAACUAGCUCACAUAUUCUAUAAAUACUAGUGUUGUACAAUUCAAUGAAGAUAAUACAUAAAUAAUACAGAAUACCUUUUUCAAUACACAAUAUUGCUUUUACUUAGCUUACUGUAGAUAUUAACAUGGUAUCAAUCGCCUUGGUGCUGGAGACCUGAUCUUCGUUUGCUCCCAUGACUACCACUACUUCUAUUGACUCUGCCUCUGUCGAGCAUGGCUGUUCGGCGUCCACUGGUGUUCGGAUCGUUCAAUCCUUCCCUUGCCAUGACACUGUUAAAUUGGAUGAUGGAAAUUUCGUUCAAUGGCAGCAACAUAUUCGCCUGAUCAUUGAAGGUUACGAACUGACUGGUUUUUUGGAGGGCACGUUACCUGCUCCAUCGCGUUUUGUACAGUCGUCAGAGGGAUCUCUUGUUCCAAAUCCGGAUGCCUCGGCGUUCGUUCAACAUUAUAGGUUACUUGCCUCUUGGUUACUCUCCACUAUUAAUCCUUCACUAUUAUCCUCAUUUACAGAUGCUUGAACGGCGUGUGAUGUUUGGAAUACUUCCACUCGUCUCUUUGCAGCAGUCACGGGUGCAAAUUUAUCUCGCAUUUGUCACGAUCUAUACUCACUUAAGAAAGAUAACCUCUUAAUCAAAAAAUAUGUAGCAAAAAUUCAGAAUACCUGUGCCUUGAUCGAGGCUUCUGGCUUUCAGAUCUUAGAGGCAGAAAAGGUUAAGAUUGUCCUUACAGGUCUACCUCCGGAGUUUGAUGCUGUGCUUACCUUAGCAUCAUUCUCAUUUGAAACUCUACCAUUUCAACGUCUUGUUGACUUGUUAUUAGAAUAUGAGACGCGACAGAUGCAUGCAGUUCAAGAACUGUUGAUUCAUGCAAAUCUUGUGGAGUCUGUUCCGUUACCACCGAUGGUGGAUUCUGUUCAUGGUGGCCUCCUCCGUCCGGUGGUCGUGGCAAAGGAUUUCGUUCCUGCAUCCAAUGUCAUAUUUGCGGCCGAUUUGGGCAUUUAGCCUAGUGAUGUUAUUAUCGUUAUAAUCGCGAUUAUGAUGGACAACUGUCGGUGGCUCAGGCUUUAACUCCCGGUCGGUAGUCUGAGUCAGGUCUCGGCUGUUGGGUUUUUGUUUUCGUCGCAAACUCCUAGUGGGUUUGAUGGCCCUUCGACUACAGUGCCGUAUGGUUUCUUCUCUGGCAAAAAUUUUUGUGCUGCACCUCACAUGCCUAGGCUGUCCACUAGGGUUUCUAACCCCUUUGCAGUCUUUGAUGAUGGAUUUGGGCAUAAUGCCGCUAGGGCAAUGUUACAAUUUGGGCCUGGGCAUGAGUCUUCUCCUUUAGUGCCUAGGCAGGACUCAUAAUCUGGCAGUUUUGCUGCUGCUGCUAGGUUCGGGCCUGCUGCUACUAGGCCACAUGACUAUGGCUAUUAUCCUGGUCAGCCCGUGCGUGCCAGGUCAUCUAGCUCAAACUAGGAACUUGGGGGCACGUUUACUUUACUUGGGCCGCAGGCUACUAAUUUUCCAAAUGGGCCAACAUCCAAUUGUGUAAAGUUUUCUAAUUCUCUUGGACAUGGACGCGAGAUUGGGCCUUCCGGUGACGGUGAUUAUCAUGCGUCUAGGCCGUCUGUUCCUUGGCGGACCAAACUGAGGGCUCAUGUUUGCACUGAGUCUGAUCCGUGCAUUGGGCUCACUCGUCUACCCGAUUUACAUACGUCCGAUGUAUCUAAUUCUACUGAUCCUAAUAUUCACGCCACUCAAUUUAGGUCCAACCUUAAUGAUACUGGUUUCUAUAUCUCUAUACUCAUCAGAACUGCAUCCUGGUAUCCAAAUUCAAGGGCUACACACCAUGUAUGUCGCGAUGCCUUUGUGUUGAAUGACUCUACACCUUACUCAGGUACAUCCUCUCUAUUAAUGGGUGACGAGACUUCCACCAGGAUCUCGUCUGUUGGAAAUUCAGUGUUUCCUACAUAGAAUAAAUUACUUCGCUUAUCUAAUGUUUUAUGUGUACCGACUAUACAGAAGAAUCUACUGUCUGUAUAUCAGUUUGCCACUAGCAAUAACGUGUUUUUUGAAUUUCAUCUAACUUAUUGUGUUGUUAAGGACAUCAAGACUUAGAAAAUUUUGUUGAGGGGCCACAUUCGUGAUGGGUUCUAAUAUUUUUCUCCAUCGAUUGCGUCUGUUCCGUCUAUUGUGGCUCCUUCUAUUGCCAAUAUUGGACUUUAGACUCGGACUGCUAACUGUGAUAAUUUUUCUUUAUGGCACAAGUGUCUUGGUCAUCUCUCUGCUUCUGUUGUUAAAUCUGUUUUAGAUAAAUGUAAUAUUGCUUCCAAUAAAGUUUGUCUUGAUAAUGUUUAUACUACAUGCCAAAAAGGGAAGUCUCAUAAACUGCCUUUUCCAACCCCUACUACUGAAUAUACUGAUCCUUUUACUUUGGUGGUCUUCGACCUAUGGGGACCUACAUCAGUUGCCUGUAGACGUAAUCGGUAUUAUGUCUCGUUUAUUGACAUGUGCACUCACUUUACUUGGAUUUAUCUUAUUCGUUAAAAGUCUUAGGCGGUGGAUUGUUUUGUUUAGUUUCAACAAUUAAUCAAGACUCAAUUUGGUAAAAAAAUCAAACAAUUUCAGAGUGAUUGGGGAGGAGAGUUUUGCGCUUUCACGUCAGUGUUGGCGACUCAAGGGAUAAUUCAUAGACUGUCCUAUCUUCAUACGCCCGAACAGAAUGGGGUGGCUGAACGCAAUCGCCAGCAUAUUGUUGACAUGGGUAUUACAUUUUUGGCCCAAACAAAUCUUCCUAUAGAUUAUUAGAGCAAUGCAUUUUUUGUGCUAUUAUCUCAUCAAUCGUCUUUCUACCUCGGUUUUGAACGAACAAUCCCUGUACAAGGUUCUGCAUAGACAAGAUCCCACAUAUGAUCAUUUACGAAUGUUUAGGUGUUGUUGUUUUCCAUAUCUGCGUCCUUUUCUGCGUCACAAGUUGGAUUUUCGUUCUUAACCUUAUAUGUUUAUAGGAUAUAGUUCCCAACAUAAAGGGUAUCAAUGUCUCACAGCGGAUGGUAAGGUCGUUAUUUCUCAUCAUGUUGUGUUUGAUGAACACCAUUUUCUGUUUCCUACGUCUGUUACGGGAGGUUCCAGAUCUUCAUUAGGUCAAUCUCUCUCACCAACAUAUGUUCCUCUUGUUCAGCCUGUCUGCUCUUGACCCACGGAGUCCUCAUCCGCUCAACCUCUUGCGUUAACCUCACCUCUUGGUUUAUGUCCCUCUCUUUCUAACUCUAAAGUUCCUCAGGUUGUUUUGGGAUCUGUACAUGAGCUCUGUCCUCUCUCCUCUUUACCUGACAAUGACGGUGUACCCAAUCCAACCACGAUUGCUUCCAAUAUUCCAGUUUCUCCACUAUUUCGUCAGCUCUUUUGCACCUAACAAAUACUUAUCCGAUGGUUACUUGGUCUAAGGCUGGCGUUUUUAAGCCCAAGGCUCUGUCUGUUGAAUCUGUUGAGCCUCACACGAUUGAGGAAGCCAUUUUUACCACCAAAUGGCUUGCCGCUGCUCGGGCUGAGUAUGAUGCCCUCAUUCAUAACUCCACCUGGAACUUGUUUCGUUACUAAAUAAUUGUAAAGUGAUCUGAUGUAAAUGACUUUUCAAAGUAAAAAAAUCUUGAUGGCACGAUUGCAUGUCGUAAGGCUUAGUUAGUAAUUAAAGGAUGUUCUCAGGUACCUGGAUGCGAUUUCAAGGAAACAUUUAGUCCAGUAAUAAAACCUGCUACUAUUCGAAUCAUACUAUCUAUUGUUGUUUCCAAGGGUUGGCAACUUCGUCAGGUGGAUGUGAAUAAUGCCUUUUUAAAUGGUGAUCUUACUAAUGAAAUGUUUAUGCAUCAACCUCCAGGGUAUGUUCAAUAUGGUUCUAAUGGUAAACAUUUGGUCUAUCGUCUGAAGAAGGCUUUGUAUGGACUAUGUCAGACUCCGCGUGCUUGGUUUGAUAAAUUGAAGUGCUUUCUCCUUUCUGUUGGUUUUCUUCUAUUAAAGUCUGAUACAUAUUUGUUUAUUAAAGUUACGCCUAACUCCACUCUUUAUGUUCUUGUGUAUGUGGAUGAUAUUAUCAUUACUAAAAGCAUGUCUACCUGUAUAAAUAGCUUUGUUCAGUAGUUGAAUAAGGAGUUCUCACUUAAACAUAUGGGUGAUCUCCUUUAUUUUCUAGGGAUUAAGGUUACUCGUUUUGCCGAAGGGUGUCUUCAUCUAUGCUAACGAAAGCACAUUCGCGAUCUGCUAGAUAGGAGUUCCAUGACUCAUGCAAAGAGUGUUCAUAAUCCUAUGAUUACUUCGUCUCCUCUAUCCAAGGAUGAUGGGGAUCAUCUUCAUGACCCUACUGAAUACAGAAGUCUUGUAGGUGCUUUACAGUAUGUGGUCCUUACUCGACCUGAUAUUGCCUACGCGUUAAAUCGCAUAUGUUAGUUCAUGCAUGCGCCUACUGCUGUCCAUCUGGUUACAUUAAAAUGAAUCUUGUGGUAUUUAUGUGGUACCCUUGAUUAUGAGAUUGUUUUUCAUCAAUCUUCUCAACUUUUGUAACGCCUAAAAAUUUCUAAUUUCGUUAUUAUGAAAAUAUGACACAAAUAUCUAUCAACUUUAGUGGUUAUGUGUUCUGAAAGUGUCUGGGAGGUCCCAAGUUUGAGCCUUCGCUUGGGAAAAUUUUAGUAUUUUGAAUGAAUUAGGCCUUACUCUUGUUCAGUAGGCUUCUAUUUGAUUGUUGGGUAAAUUACAUCAGAAUGAAUUCAUGAGAAAGGUAUAAUAAACUUUGUGAGACAAGGUCAGAAUGAAUUUGGGUUCCCCUGUUCUGACUUUGAAAAAUCAUGAAAAUUGGAGAAAAAUAAUUGGGGGUUAAAAUUUACAUAUUUAAAUUAUUGUUGAGACUAUUUUCAAUAAAAACAAAUUGAAACAUCAUCCAAUUUUUUUACUAAGAGAUAAUUAAUUUUUAGCAAAGAAGGGACGAAGCUGUCAGACAGCAGAACAGGGGUAAGUUUGAAGAUUUUACUGUACUUAUUGGCAGAACAAAAAAUUUUAAAAAUUUUAUGGUAAGGUAUUUGAGUCUAGUUUCAAAACCAUCAAGUGGAUCUUAAUUCGGAAUUCUGUAGCUCAAUAUAUAAAUAAUUUAGUAACAGUGACUCAAGUAGACAACUUUGAAGGAACAUAUAAGUAAAUAGUGAAAACAUAUAUGAAUAAUUAACUAGCACGAGUUACAUUAAAAAUGGAUCAUGUGGCCAAGGCCAAUUUGGGCCGAGUGGGCCACAUGGGCGUGUGAGCCUAUUUUUCUAAAAAGUUCUGUAAGGUUGCACGGGUCGCCCAAGUCAACUAUGGACCUACUGAAGGGUCGGUAAGCUUUACUUAGACCCCUAUCUGUGUGAUCUGUGUGAUUUCUAUACCGAGCAUGACUUAUGAUAUCUGAAUGUAUGUACUAUUAAUUGCAUAAUGGCAUGACAUAUUUUGUAUGCUGCAUUGCAUCGGGGUAGGUUGAUGAUAUUUGGAGAAAGUGUCUGAAAGGCUAUUAAGUCUAUUAUCUGCAGCUCAGCUGCAACCUUAUGAUUAUGUGCCGCAUUUCGGUACAGCAUGGUGUGUAGGGAUGAGUGGGUUGAUUUAAUCCCCACAUGGUGUGUAGGGUUGGACGAAGAUGGUGUGUAGAGGCUGGUGGGUAGGAUUCUGAUUUACUGUAUCUGCAUUUUGUAUCUGAUAUAGGCCAAGGCCCUAAUGCAUUUCUAAGACUGUAUCUGAAUGGGUUAAGGCCCAAACUGAUUCUGUGAUGGACACAGGCCUCGGACUGUAUCUAACUGAAUUCUAUUGAUUAUUUGUAUGCAUGUUUUCUGUGGGGAUUACACAUUGAGUUUGCGAAAACUUACCCUUUCUUUGUUUAAUCUAUAUAGGUAAUCCCCAAACUUGACGGGUCGAUGCAGCGGAGGACUCAACGGUGGCCACACGUAAAUUUUAGACUAUUUUCCAUAAUUUCUAGAAUUUAUUACUUAUUUGAGGUUUUUGAUGUAUCUUCUAGACUAUGAACUGGAUGGCUUUAAAUUUGAGACUUUAUACUAUUUUUUAUGGAUUUUUUUUAAAAACUGCAACUCCACAAAACACGAUUUUUUUCCUAAAAAGCUAAGGUUCUUCGUAAGUAGAAACAAUUUUCCCUAAAUUAAUUGGUUACAAAAGCUUUCAAUAAGAGACAAGUUUUAAAGUAAAUCAACUAGUUUUUUUUUCGAAUUAAAUAAAAGCUAACUUACUGUAACGGUUUUUAAAUUCGACAAUAUUAUAUUUGAAUCUCUUUCCAUGUGACAUCGCCAGAUUCGACCAUAACAUCUAGGCCGGGUUUAGGGUGUUACAUUUAGUGGUAUCAAAGCCAGGUUGCAAUACUCAGCUGUGGAUUUGGGUUUUAAAACUUGGUUUUAAAGAGAUGAUUUUUAAAUGGUUUGAAAUAUUUUUGACUGAGUAUGUGGUACACUGAGUCUUCGGCGCCGAUUCUGUAAAUGUUCUAAAAACUUUGGUAAGUUUUUGAAAAUAUGAGUAGCAUGUUCUGAAACUACUAUAGGUAGUACACUGUACUAAGAACACUGUAGAUAGAAUAUACUAAAAACAGUAGCGAAACUGAAAACUAUAGUAAGUCUGCGAUUCGUGUUAACAAACUCUAAACUUCUGAUACUAUUUUGCAUAAAAUAUCUACUAAUAGAUAUCGAAACUGUAAUUGAUUCAUAAAACUGUUAACACAGAUAAGCUACGAAUUCUACGAUGAGUGCACGAGGUAUCCGCGGACGGGUACUAAAGGCCGAGGUAGAGGCUGUAGAGGGGCUCGAGCUGAGUCCCGGACCAUGAUCACCUCUAAUUGUGAGUCUAAAUAUUAUAAGGUCGGUGUUAAUUAUGCAAAUAAAAAAAUUUCUUGCAAUAUAUUGUGGUGUAUGAUACCAUUUGAGAAAAUAGUGUUAAACACAAGCACAAUAAAACUUUGAUUUGAAACAUUUAAGGCUUCAAAAUGCGGUUGAGAAGGUAUUUGUUGUUCUGAAAACAUAUUUAUCAUAUUAACAACAUCACUUUUGUAUAACAUAUAAAAAAAAAGUUGGAUCGUACUAGCAUGUUGCAUAUUUCACAAUUUUAAUCAUAGGUGGAAUUGAGAUAAUUUAUAUUUCAAAAAGUACAUGGAAGAAGAACAUCUUGAUAAUCUUAAAGAUACAAAUUCAAAUGAUGAUUAACUCAAUUAAAGAGAAAAGACCAACAUAUGAUAAUAAGGUGCAUAUUUUAAAUACUAAAGAGGGAAUAACCCAAUAAAUAUGAACUAGAACAAUUAAAAAAAUUGUAUAUGGUUUAUUUUUCUUGUUUUUUUUUAGUAAUCGUAUUAUCAAUUACAUUUUUAGACUAACACAAUGCAUAUGAUUAUUUUAUUUUAAUUUUUGUUACUUAUUUAUAAAUUAUUUUUAUCAUACUAAUAAAUUUUUAUAGUAAUUAAUAUUUUUUAAAUGAAAUUUAUGUAACUGUGUAAUUACAAUUUGUACUACCAAACAUGACAUAGGAAAUUACGAUAUAAUUACUCUCUGUUAACUAAAUACGUCUAGGAAAUUACAAUUUUCUUAUAAUUACAAAAGAGAGUAAUUACUAUCCUAAUAAUUACAUUUUCAUUCAAUUAUUUUGUGCUAUCCAAACAAACCCACAUGUUUAGCUUAAGUACUCACAUGCACAUACAUACGCCAUAUUUCAUACAUAAAUCAUUUAAUGAUAAUUUGACAACUUGAGAUUAUGAAAUGUAAAAGUGAACACUAUCACCAUACAUUGGAUACACGGAUCUCCAUCACACCAAUAACUCAAAGAGUCUAACAUGUCCCAUAAGUGUAGUAUAAUGCCAAACACUCCCUAACACACCAACAUGUCCAAAUGAAUGGAGCUUAGCUCCACAUUCCCUUAUCUCUCCAACUUGUCCUAGGGCUUCAAUGCCCAAAUCACAAAAUACAAAGGUGAGUGCUCACAAUCCUAUCGCAUGCCAACUAUAUCAAAUGAUUUUAAGAGAUCACAAGGCCAAAACAUCCACAAUUACACAUAUUUAAUUACUACUUUAGUGCACAUUGUCUCUAUUUAUAUUCGUCAAUUUACAUCACAAACUUGUACACAAUGCAUACUUAUCGAAUUCACAUUUAUUUGCGUUUUAAGUGUCACAACAAUGCUCCUUGAGCCAUCAUAUAUCAGACCACAUUUGUGUGCACUAAAAUCAAUUUAUCGCAUCCAAAUAUUCACCCACAUUACCUAUCAUAAGAACCUCACGUUCCUCAACUCGACAUACAUUAAGUAAAGUUUUACAUUAAGGAAAAAAGUAUAAAGAAGGCUUACACUCAGAACUUAGGAUAGGAUUUUAGGCUAUUCCUAAGUUCCCGAUUAACUCUACGAAUCGUGCAUACUAGCAGUGACUUCGGACACUCACCAAUCACGCUUCCGCUUAUUAGUCGAAAGCUCAAACUAGGUUUUCUUUACCUUUUGCCUUGCUCGUAGAGGGCUCCAACGAUUUUGAAACUUUUAACUAGUUUAGCCAAAACUCAAAUUUCUUAAUCUAGACCUGUUCCUAUUGCUUAAAAUCGAUUCCAAACACCUAGUUAUUCAUUUAAGAGUAGAUCUCAACCUUUAAAACACCCAGAAUUUUCAGAUUUAUGUUUCUGAAAAAUUUCAACGUUCAUGACUACUUUGAACGAAAAAUCAUUAAAUCCUUCAAAUCUCUUAAUGAUUGAUUAAAGUAAGUUUAAAAACCUUCUAAUCUCAUCAAAACAAGUCAAAAAACACCUAGAAAAAACAAUUUAAUUGGAAAACCUGAAUUUCACCAUUAAAGAUCCCAAUUUUGACUAAAACAUGAAAUUCUCUUGGCACGAAUCAAAAAUUGAUUUGAGUAGCUAAAAUAUAUCAAAACUUAGUAAGGAAACAAAAAUUUAAUUUAAUCAAGAAGAAGAAUGAAUGAAUGAAAGGUUGAUUUCCAGAAAAUUCCUUUGGAAAUCGAAUGAGAAAAUUGAUAAUAUUUUUGGGGGGUUUUGUUAAAAAUUCAGAGAGAUUUCAGAGUUUUGGAGAUGAGAAAAUCACAAAGGUUAAGCCAAUUUGAGAGAAAAUUAGGGAUUUGGGUUUAAGAGAAAUUUUAUUUUGAAUGUUGCAAAAGAUAAGGAGAUGUGAGUGGCUGCAAUUUGAAACCCAAUUUACAAAAAUUGGGCAAUUUGCCUUUUUGGUCACUCCUAGUGUAACACCCCUAACCCAUAUCCUUUGCCAAAACAAGGUUACGGAGCGUUACCAGAGUUUACAGAUUAUAUAACAUACAUUUCAUAUCAUUUAGCAUUCAUAUUAGAAAUCAAUCAAAAUUGAUCAUAUUGUCCCUUAUGUGAGCCCUCGAGGCCUAAAAUAGACAUUAGAAACAUGUCGGGACUAAACUAGGUACUCAGAGAAUUUUUCAGAAAAUAUUACAAUUUUUCAAAGGUGUAGGGGACACACGCUCGUGUGGUCAGGUCCUGUGACUCACACGGUUAAGAGACACGCCCAUGUCUUAGGCUGUGUAGGCAUUCGAAAUAAAGACACACGACUGUGUCCCAGCCCAUGUCCAAACUUAGGAGAUCUCUGACUUGGGUCACACGGCCAAGACACACGCUUGUGUGCUAGGCAGUGUGAGAAUUUUGUUUUGCAAUUUUAAAGAUGCAGGGGACACAAGCCCGUGUCUCUACCCGUGUAGACAAAAAUAGACCAUUUUCCAAGCCAUAUUUUUUACCCCAAUUGUCAUCAACCUAACUUACAUUUUUACACAAUAAUAAGACAUAACAAGGCAUUCAAAUCAAGCCAAAACCAAGUCUUCUACAUAACAUAUCACCACAUAUAUCUAAGUAUCCAUACUUACCAAAUUAACCAAAUACACAUAUAUGCAUAUUUGUACCAAAUAUACUAUCUCAAAAAAAUCAUCAAUAUGCCUAUAUGAUUUCCAUCAUUCAACCAUAUCACACACACAUCAAACAUGUUAAGGCCAUAUAUAUACAUAUCAAAAUGUAUCAACCAGCCAUUCAAAUGGCUAAUCACAACAAAACAUUUGCAUGCCAUCAUUGGCCAAGUUAACCUAUACGUGUCAUUAUAACCAAAAUUGAUUUACUAAAUAUACCGAAAAGGGCCGAUGGAUAGUGUGAAGUUGCUCUGACCAGCUUCCAACCAAAAUGAGCUUCCGAAUUACUAUAAAACAGGGAAAAUAAAACAGAGUAAACAUUUAAUACUUAGUAAGUUUGUAUAACAUGAAAUUUAACUUACCAUUUAAUCACAAUUAAGGUAAGCAUUCAAGGCAUAUUCCAACCAAAUUGGCCAAAAGCCCUAACACAUAUCCUCAUCAUGUUAGCCAAGUAAUCACAUAUAAUAACCCUUAAUCAUGGAUGAACAAGAUCUUCAAGCAAGUUCCACAUUCAAGGGCUUUUACGAUUUUGUCCCUAGGCUCAAAAAAUGAAAUUCAUACAAUUUAAUCCUUAUUUCAAGCCUAGCUGACUUUCAUAUAUAACAACAGUAGCCCAUGAAUUUCAUAAAAUUUAGAAUUUUUCCAUGAAUUUAUAAUAUUUUCAAUUUGGUCCCUAAAUCAUAAUUUCAUCAAAAUUCACUUUACAGAAGUUAUUUAGCUAUCAACAACCUUUCAUUUUCUACCAUAAAAUUUCAUAAUUAAACUAUACUCAUCCAUGGGAAAACCCUAACACUUUAAUAGUUUUAAAAUUAAUACCCAAGAUAGCUAGAUUAAGCUAUUACGAUUUCGAAAACAUAAAAAUCAUUAAAAACGGGACCAAAAUACUUACGUAAUUAAGCAAAAUAAGCUUGCUUGAGCUCAACUCUCAUGGCUAGGGUUUCCAUGUUUUAUUUUAGGAAAGAUGAUGAAAAUGAUAUUAAUUUAAUUAAUUAUUUCAUUUACCAUCAUUAUUUUAUCAUCUUUCCAAAAUUAACCCUAAUUCUUUAUUCAAUUUCUAAUGAUGAAUAAUCAUCCUUAUCUGCUAACUCUUCUAAAUGGUCUAUUUUUCAUAUAAGGACUUCAAAAUUUAAAUUCCAUAGCUAUUUGAUACCUUUAGCUACUAGAAUUCAACUUUUGCACUUUAUGCAAUUUGACCCUCUUUAUCAAAUUAGACAUGUAAACGAUAAAAUUUCUUAACAAAAUUUUGAUAUGAUAUUUCUAUCAUACUGUAGACCAUAAAAUAAUAUUAAAAUAAAUUUUAUUUCGACCUCAGAUUUGUGGCCCCUAAACCACUGUUCCGAUUUCACUGAAAACGGGCUGUUACACCUAGCUUUUCCCUUUUUCUAAUUAGACCUCAAAAUUGAAAUUUUUUUUUAGCUAACAAAUAAAUUAAGAACUUGAUUAUGAAACUCACAUACUUAAAUUACUCACUUACGACCUUAUUUUCCUUUAUCUGACACAACCUCCAGCUAAAAAACUCGAUUCUUCUAACCCGUUCUUCAGAGUGUGACAGCUCUUCCCCUCUAAAAAGAAUUUUGUCCUCGAAAUUUUCCUGAUGACACAUCAUUCGCUUAAUCACAAAACCUGUUAUGUUUUCCUUUAAAACAACCACCACGCUUUCGCUGCACAACUCAGAUUUCUUUUUAACUUUUUAGGGUUUUUUAUGAAGAUCCUAUUCACUACCACGGACUGUCUUUCGGUGACUUCACUAUUAGUUUCCUUUAUUCUCUAUGAUACUCUCAUUUGAAGAACUCGUAAUCAUAGUUCCUAAUUUAAUAGCCUUUAUCUGGAUUCUUUGCUUAUUAGUUAAAUUGCUAAAAAUUUACAAAGGCAUAGAUCCUAAAUCUACCAAUGAGAAUAAAUGGAUUGAUUACAAGGAAAAAAUACCCGCAAUCUCGUUGAUAGAAUCCUAAUCUUGUGACUUCCUAAUAGCAUACAUGCGAGCUGGUCCUUCGGUCUCCACCUGAGUAGUAACGAUAUGAGCAGCAUCCCACAGCCCAACCGGUCCCACAUUACCACCUCUACCUCUGCCACGACCUUGAGCAUGCACAGGUACAGGUGCAAAACUCCGAGUCUACGAAACCUCAACUCUAUUUGGACAAUCCCUCACCAAGUGUUCUUUAGAGCCACACUUGAGACAUCCUCUUGUCAAUUUUCGGCACUCUUCAGAAUGUCUACGCUCAUAAUGUCCACAAUAUGGCCAUCCAAAUUCUCUUGACAACCCACCAGUGCUAACCACCACACUGCUCUACUGCUUAGAUUGACUUGGUAUAAACUUGUGUCAUGCACUCCUAUCAAAACCCUAAAUAUCAUGGCCUCUCUUAGACGGUCGUCUAGAUCUUUUAGAACUAUUAAAGGUUCUUUUCCCUGAUUCAGUCACCACUGAGCACGAUGGCUCAGCUAAAGUUUCCUCAAUAGCUUUGGAUUUCUCAACCAUCUCAUCGAACAACUCAAUAUUUUAAGCUACCGAAUAAACUCUAAUCUCCUGAUUAAGCCCAAAACAAAACCACUAGUAUCAGUCUUUCUUAGUAAGUACCAUCUCAAGAACAUACUGGUUGAGUCACACAAAUUUCGGUUCGUACUCAGCCACAGUCAAACUACCUUGAACCAGGUCUAUAAAUUCAAGGUUACGGGCUUCCAAGUACUGCUCACCCGUAAACUUCCUUUUAAACACUUCUAAAAAAUAAUCUUAAGUCAAACAGUCUGCAAUAGUACCUCUCUUCAAUGUAUUCCACCAACGGUGGGUUACUCUGUCGAGUAGGGACAUAGUACAUCCCAACUUCUCCUCGCCAAUAGUGGACAUGUGAUCGAGGAUCCUCUCCACACUUUCAAGCUAGUAUUCCACUAUAGUUGGAUCAACUCCCUUUAAUUGAAUAAAUUAUCGCUUAUUGCCCGCAGACAUUCAAGUGGCAGUCCCCGAUUGGAAGGAGCAGGGUUGGCAUCUACAAUCCUCUGAAAUACCCCAAUCAGGGCUUGCAUCAGAAGGCCAACACUCUCAUCUGGUACAUUUACUCUAUGAGGCAUCACAAGAGGUGCAGAGGAUGUACUAUCCUCUUGAGCGUUCCCAUUCACAUUAACACGUCUACGAGGCAUAUUGUAUCUACUCUAACAAACACAAUCAACCAAGAGUGUGAGUGGCGGGAAAUGAUCCAAGGCAUGUUCCUGAAAGGAAACAUUUAAAUAAAGGAAAUGUGUUCCCAAUCCUACCCCCCAAAAAAACAAUUUCAUAAUAACUUCAACAGAGAUAUUCAAGUCAAACAGUUUAAGUAAUAUGAAAAUCUAGGUACAUGGGUUACACCCUAGUCCCGAAUACUGACAAACUUAGGUCUAACUCUUAGAAAACCUAGGCUCUGAUACCACCAAACGUAACACCCCUCAUCUGGCCUGGUCGUCAAACCCUAGUAAUAGGAUGCUACAAUCGCUAUUGAAACUUAGGCUCCGUUUGUUUCACUGAAAAUAGCUUUUGGAAAAUGAUUUCUGGAAAAUAACUUACUUUUCUAGAAAAGCUAAUAUUUUCUGGUGUUUGGAUGAAUCUGUAUAAAAUAUUUUCUUUUGUUUGGCAGGUUCUUUAAAAAUAUUUCAUAAAAGUCGUUUUCAAUUAAACAAACAUACAUUUGAGAUUUUUUUUAUUUCAUUUUCUAAUUGAGUUUAUUUUAUAUCUAUAAUUUUAUAUUUUACAUUGUUUUUACAUAUAUUAAAAAUAUUUUGUUAAAUUUAGGUUCAUUGCAACGAUUAUUUUUAGUUACAUGACUACCAACUGAGUAUUUUUNNNNNNNNNNNNNNNNNNNNNNNNNNNNNNNNNNNNNNNNNNNNNNNNNNNNNNNNNNNNNNNNNNNNNNNNNNNNNNNNNNNNNNNNNNNNNNNNNNNNNNNNNNNNNNNNNNNNNNNNNNNNNNNNNNNNNNNNNNNNNNNNNNNNNNNNNNNNNNNNUAUUUUAACAUUUAUACUACAAAAUAUUUAUUAUUAAUAUAUUUAUAAUUGUAAUAAAUAUUUAGUAUUAAAAUAUUAAUAUUGGUAUUUUUUCAAGUGAAUAAUAUUAUUUAAAAUUAUUAUUUUUAAAAUUUACUAUUAAAAUAAAAUUUAAAUAUUAAAUAAAUUAUUAAAAAUAAUAAAUUAUAUUAAUAAUUUAUUAUAUGACUAAAUAUAAAUAAUUAAAUACGUAUUUUUAAUAAUACUAAAAAAUAUAACAGUUUCUAUUAAUAUUUUAAAUAUUUUAAAUAUUUUAAAAAUAAAAAUAAAAAUUAUUAUCAAUAUAAUAAUAUUAAACUUGAUUUAAGUUAAUUUUUAUAUAAAAGUAAAAUUAUCUAUUGAAAAGCUCUUUUCCGGAAAAUGACUUACGCUUUUCAAAAAGGUAAGCCAUUUUACAAGGAAAAAGGCUUAUUUUUCGUUGACUUGUAAGUCAUUUUCCGUUGACGAAGCUGUUUUCUGUGAAACAAACACAGGAAAAUGCAGAAAAUAUUUUCCGUAAAACCUUUUAUAUGUAAAUAAACGGACCCUUAUACACAUGCACAGAUAGCUUCAAAUAAGAACAACAACUACUACAUUCAAUAAUAAAAAAGGGCGGUCCUGACUAGUUAAACAUUAUACGACACUAGAAACAAUUUUAUCCGUAAAUAGGGUCCAUUUUUUUAAAAGUCUUAAAGAAAACAAUGUAGGUAUCGAUACAAAAUAGUAGGUAUUGAUAUAUAGUAAAUUAGGUAUUGAUACUGAUGUAAAAAUUGAUACAUUUUUAGCUCUCUGUCAAAAUUUUUUUAAACCAUUUUAUCGAUACUUUGGCAAGAGUAUUGAUAUUUCAAGAAAUACUCGUGGUUGGGUAUCGAUACAAAAUUGGGUUAUUGUUAAUUUUUAAAAACAUCCCAACCUCAUGGUAUCGAUAAUUGUGUCCUGAGUAUUCAAUAAUGCCUUUAUUCAAAGUGUUCAAAAAUUAUAAAACCACCUAUUCAAAAGUUUAUUUCCUUGCUAAGAUCACUUCCUUGGCCACACCAUUCACACCGAAAGUGCUACUUAUCUGCAAAAUUUUAAUGUGAAGUGUGUGAGCUUAAACAAGCUCAGUGAAUGUUCAAAAUUACCACAAGCAUACAUAACGUCAUAUGUUAAGCAAGAGCAUACUACGACACAUUCACAUUCAUAUUUCAUUAAAUCAAAAUAUCAUAUUCAUGCUACAUUAUCUCACAUGUUUAGCUUAAGUACUUACAUGCACAUACAUAUGACAUAUUUCAUACAUAAAUCAUUUAAUGAUAAUUUGACAACUGGAGAUUAUGAAACGUAAAACUAGAGUCUAUCACCGCACAUUGGAUACAUAAAUUUCCAUCCCACCAAUGACUCAAAAACUCUAACAUGUCCCAUAAGUGUAGCAUGUUGCUAAACACUCUCCAACAUACCAGCAUGUCCCAAUGAAUGGAGCUUAGCUCGACAUUCCCUUAUCUCUCCAUCUAUGGCAUGCCAACUAUAUCCAACGGUUUCAAGAGAUCACAAGGCAAAAAUAUCCACAAUUACACAUAUUUAAUUAUUGUAUUAAUGCACAUCAUCUCUAUUCAUAUUCAUCAAUUUACACCACAAACUUGUACACAAUGCAUGCUUACUGAAUUCACAUUUAUUUGCACUUUAAGUGCCACAACAAUGCUAAUUGAGCCAUCACAUAUCAGACUACAUUUGUAUGCAUUAAAAUCAAUUUAUUGCAUCCAAAUAUUCAUACACAUUACUUGUCAUAAGAACCUCACAUUCCUUAACUCGACAUAUAUUAAGCAAAGUUUUAUAUCAAGGCAAAAGUAUAAAGAAGGCAUACACUCGGAACAUAGGAUAGGAGUUUAGGCAAUUCCUAAGCUCCCGAUUAAUGCUACGGAUUGUGCAUACCAACAGUGACUCAAGACACUCACCAAUCACGUUUCCACUUAUUAGUCAAAAGCUCAAACCUAGCUUUUCCUUACCUUUCGCCUUCCUCGUAGAGGGCUCCAAUGAUUCUGAAACUUAACAAACAUUAACCACACACUAUGUAAAAACAAUUAAUAGCCAUAAACUCACUAUAAAUCAAACAUUAACGUAGAUUCUACCUAACUCCUCUUUAAACCAAAAAUUUUGACUAGUUUAGCCAGAACUCAGAUUUCUUAAUUUAGACUUGUUCCUAUUGCUUAAAAUCGAUUCCAAACACCUAGUUAUUCAUUUAAGAGCAUAUCUCAAACUUUAAACUACCCAUAAUUUUUAGAUUUAUGUUUCUGAAAAUUUUCGACAUUCAUGAGUACUUUGAACAAAAAAUCAUUAAAUCCUUCAAAUAUUUUAACGAUUGAUUAAAGCAAGUUUAAAAACCUUCUAAUCUCAUCAAGAAAAGUCAAAAAACACCUACAAACAACAUUUCAAUUGGAAAACCCAGAUUUAGCCAUUAAAGACCCUAAUUUUGACUAAAACAUGAAAUUCUCUUUAAACAAAUCAAACUUGAUUUGAGUAGCUAGAAUAUAUCAAAGUUUAAUAAGGAAACAAAAAUUUACCUCUAUCAAGAAGAAGAAUGAACGAAAGUUUGAUUGUCAAAAAAUUCAUUUGGAAAUCGAAUAAGGAAAUUGAUAAUCUUUUUGGGGGUUUUCUUAAAAAUUUAGGAGAGAUUUUAGAGUGGGAGAUGAGAAAAUCGCGAAGAUUAAGUCAAUUAGGGAGAAAAUAGGGGAUUUUGGUUUAAGAUAAUUUGUUGUUUUGAAUGAUGGAAAAAGAUGAGGGGAAGACGUGAGUGGCUGCUAUUUGAAAGCCAAUUUACAAAAAUUGGGCAAUUUGCCCUUUUGGUCACUCCUAACUUUUUCUUUUUUCCAAUUAGGCUCGAAAUAAAUUGAAAUCCAUUUUUUUCAAAUUAGACGUCAAAUUUGAAUUUUGUUUUGAGCUAACAAAUAAAGUAAGAACAUGAUUAUGAAACUCACAUACUUAAGUUACUCACUUACGACCCUAUUUUCUAUUAUCUGACACAACCUCUGAUUAAAAGACCUGAUUCUUCUAGCCCAUUCUUCAGGGUGUGACAUGGAUAUAACAUUAAAAUAUUUAGGAUAAGUUCUCAAAUUAACAUUAUAUGGGGAGAGUAUUACUAUAAGAACUUGUUAGAAACCUUUUUCAACUUUUCGUGCUAUAAAUGUGCUCCUACAGUAGCAAUACCGUGAUAAAAUGUUGUUUAAUUGUGAUUGAAUAAAAUAACAAGUUAUUAAAUAAAGAAAAAAAACAUUAAGUCUGUCUUACUAGAUCUACUCCAUUCCCUGAAGUGAAUGUAGCAAUAUAUAACAAAUUCAAAGGAUAUAAUCGUGGACAUGGUAGGUGGAACUGUAAUAAUCGUCAAAUGGGUAGUCAUAAUAAUUUUUCUUACCACCAAAAGUGGAAAGUGAAGAUAAUGUUGAAACUGAUAAUAAGAUUUGCGUUGGAAUUCAAAUGAAUAGUUUCAUCCUAUAUUCCAACUUUUAAUUAUUGUGCAUUUAUGGUAUGCUUCUAUGCUUUGCUUAAUUUUGCACAUAUAUCUAUACAAAUUAAAUAUGUGUUUGUGUGUAUUUUGUAAAUUGAUAAAAUUUAUUUGCAACAAAUGCAUGUAGCUUUGGCUUUGAUUUUAUUUUAUUGAGACUAAUGUUCUAUAUUUGGAUGUUUCAAAGAUGACAUUUAUAACCAACUCUAGACUUAUUAAUUUAGUGUUUUCUUCAAUACAAUUCUAGUAUAUUUGUUUGCAUGGUUAAAUCACAUGUGAUGGUAAAUCAAAAGUAUACAUUAGUAUUGUUGAAUCAUGUGCAUAGUAAACAAGAAGUUUACUAGUCCAAAUAUGAUCAUUAGUUGGCAUGAUUAGUUAGACCAUCUUGACCAAUAAUGAUGCAACAAGAUAAGAAUUUACAUGAAUAUCUAUUAAAGAACCUGGAGAUUCUUCAUUUAUCAAGUGUUGCUUGUUCUAAUUUUUUUUAUUAAACCUCACUAGCAAAAGUUGAUAUUGAAUCUUUUACAUUUCUGAAAGAAAUAUGGGCUCAUUUAUCCAAGAAGUGAAUAUUUUGAUAUAAUUUUGGUAGAUGCAUUUGCAAGUUAAUUACAUGUGAGUUAUCACUCGCAACUUGUAGUUUAUGAUAUUACUUAUUUAAUGAUUUGUUUAUGAACAAAACUUUCAGAUUAUGCAAUUGGUACAAGUCUGGCUAAUGUUGGUGACUUUAUUACUCAUACUUUCAAUGACUAUUAUAUGCUAGAUUAUUAGUGCGAGUAACUUGCAAAAGCCUAUUGUUUAUACGAAUGAAAUAGUUUAGCAAAAUUAAUGAUUAAAUGCCUUAAGUUAAUAGCUAAACCAUUAUUGUUGAGAAUUUUUUUUGUAUAUAAGGAUAUGAUAUUUUAUAUCAAUCUACACUUGUACGCAUCAUGCCAAUACAUUUUGAUAAAUCCUUUUCAUUACAAUUGGCUUUUUAAUUUUCAAAUACAUCCCAUUUUAGAAUUUUUGAAUGUGUGAUAUAUGUUUAAGUUGCUCCACCACAAUGCACAAAAUGGAUAUUCAAAUAAUGUUUGGAAUAUAUACUAAUUAUGAAUCUCUUAUUAUUAUAUGUUUUGAUCGGAUUGGAGAUUCAAUUAUGAUAUGAUUUGAUGAUUAGGACUUUAAUUUAACAAGUUUUCCCAACAUCAGGGGGAAAAAUGGUAAUAGCUAGAUGAAAUGAUUAAAUAGAAUGAAUUAUCAUUAUCUAGAUCCUCGUAGAAAGUAAUUUGAAUUAGAAAUUCAAAAAGAUAAUUCACUUUAGUACAACUUAACUGCCAAAUGCACCUAUUAACUUGAUGAGAAUAACCAAGUGUUACAUACCAGCUAAUGUUUUGAUUUGAACUGAAGUUCCAGUAGGAAAAGUUACUAGACUAAUUAAAGGUAAUACAUGCCUGAGUCAUGGUUGUUUGAUAGAUGAUAAUUCUUGUAAAAGAAAAGAAUAAAUCUAAAUGAUCAUAUAGUGGAGGUAGGUGCUCUUGAAGAGGCCUAAGACAUAACUAAUUAUUAAAAAUCUCAAAGGGAUUCACGUACUUAAAAAUGAUAAAAAAUGAAAAUAAAGAGAUCUUGAUAAGUUAUGUCAAUACAAGAAAAUAUGGAACCAUGAAAUAGAAAUUUUUUUUACAACGAUUUUGCAUGCAAUAGUAUUAUUGAGAUAAAAAAAGAAAAUGAUAGUUUUGAAUAAAUUUGUCAAGAAAUAUAUAUAUGGAAUAGAUUGAUCAAAAUAGAAAGACGUAACUCAAGUACAAUUAAAUUUGUAAAGGUUUUGGACCCAUAGUCUAUAUAGCUAAAGGCAUAAAGCCAGUAAGGGUACAAAUGAAGUAGUUUUACAAAAACGAAAUAAGAAAUGUGAAGCUUUUCGCUAAGUCCUGGCAUUGAUUAUGAAAAGAUAUAAUCUUAUUUUGUGGUGGAUGCAAUAAUCUUUAAAUAUAUUAUUAAACUGGUAGUUCAUGAAAGAUUUAACAUGCGUCUAAUGUGUAACAACCCGAAAGUCAAUGGUGCUGAAAACUCUAAUUUUGGGACUCCAUUUUCGUAAACUAAAUAUUUACAAAGUUAUUUUAGAAGUGAAUUAAAUUUUGAAUAAGAAAUUUUACUAAAUUAGUGAAUAAUUUAAGUAUAAGGGCUAAAUUGUAAAAGUGGUUAAAUUUAAAAUUGCCAAAGAAGCAGUAAUUAAAAGUAAGGAACAAGGAUCAAGUUAGCAAUUAGACCAUGAUCAUUAAUAAGGGUUGUGGACAGUGGCAAGCUAUAUGAUUUAUGGAAGGGAUAAAAGGGUAAUUUAAUAAAUAAUGGUAAAAUGAAUUAAAUCUUAACAAAUAAACUUAGUGGAUCGAAAGUGUCACACUCGGUUUUCACUUAUGCCCCAAAAUUAAAGGAAAGUUAGGAGUUAUUUGAAUAGAAUGAUAAGAAGGCAAGAUUUACUGGAAAUUUUAGGAAUUUUGUGACUGAUUGGUAAAUAGUUAAGUUUCCAUUCUCGUUCAGUUAAAAGAGAAAUAGCUGGUCCCUUAGUGGGAGACACAAUAAUUAUUGGUGAGUGGUUAAUUGGGGCUUUGAUGACCAUGAGAAAAGGGUUAUAUAUAGGGGAGAAGCCUUACUCAAUAGAUGAAUUCUUCUCAAUUUUGAUUGUAUUUCCUUCUCAUUUGCAUCAUCUUCUUCGGUUGCUUCGAAGAAGGGAGAGUUAAGAAAAACGUUGUGUGGGGUGGUGAUCGUGAGGUCUAAGGUCAAGAAAAAUAAAAUCCAAUAAGUUGGUAAGCUCCUAAUUCCCUCUAUGUCCAUAAUUAGAGGAAAAAGAAGUAAUAAUCCCUAAAAAGCUCCUAUAUAGAAAUUUGAUUCAAGGUUUAAAGUUAGAAUUCUUUUGAUUUAACUGAUAUACGGUUGUCGUGCUUAGUGUCCAAGAUGAUGGAGGCUCUAGCAUUUGGAAAAGCUAAGCUGGCAAGGAUAAAAAAGUUUAGGUGGGUUUCUAUGCUCCAUCUUUGGGUGAUUGAUAACAUUGAACUGCUUGAAUGAUAUGUGUCUAUGUCUGUUCUGUGAUGUCUGAAUCCGUGGUUGCGUAUGAACAUGGUGAAUGAGUAUGUUGUGUAUGCAUAAUGAUGCGUAAGAGUGAGUAUCCUUGCAAGUAUGUAUAUUGUAUGUUAAUUAGUUGUGAGUUGAUAUAUUAAUGGACGACAUACUGUAUGCUAUAGAAAUAAAUACAAUUAAUUACGUGAAAUGCAUAUAUGUUAUAUAAUACAGAGUAAUGAGGGAGAUGCCUUGACGGGGUAGAUGAAGAUAGGAAAAGUUGGCGUAAUAGAGAAACGAACGAAUAGUUAGGGGACCUGAGGGAGUUGGGCGGCAUCGUGGAAUGGUUAUCUACUUGGUCGCCAGAGCGACACCGUGAUGACGAUCUAUCAACUCUAUGGAGCAACACCGUGAUAGUGGUUAUCGAUUGGUCCUUCGAGGUGACACCUCAAAAAAGGUUUACUAAUUCUUCGGAGUCAUAGGUGCAUGGCACCAUAAUGUGUAAGACCAUAGUUGGGCUAUGGUAACAUAUAAAGUCUACUAAGACAGUAAACAUGGGACCAUAGUGUGUAAGAUCAUAGUUGGGCUAUGGCAACAUAUGAAGUCCACCAGGAUAGUAAACAUGAGAUCAUAAUGUGUAAGACCAUAGCAGGGCUAUGGCCACAUAUGAAGUUCGUAAGUACAAAGAACUAGGAAGCCCACCAGGGCAUAAAAUGGGGUAGUCAUCGUAUAACUUUAGUGGCAAGUAGUAAGACUGAAUGAUCAUAGCGUGACUGAGAAGACUAGCAAAUGGGAUAACAAGAGGAUCCACCAAAAUUCGAAGGUAGGUAGAAGUGUCUGAGAAUGCGGGUAAGCUUGUUGAUAAGGGGAUCUGCCAAAUUAUGACGGUAAGAGGAAUUGGUGGAAGCAGUUUUAACGUGGCUGAUGUUAUGAAAAUGAUAUAUUCUUCGAGGUAUCUAAGUAUUCUCCACUAUGAGUUCACCAAUGUUUGGUGAGUAAACUAGUAUUGGGUAUGAUAGUGAGCCGAACAAGUGGAUUUUAAAUCCUAAGGGUCUUCUAGUAAGAGGAAGCCAGAGACAGGUAAGUUCGCCAAGGAUUUUAUCAAGAGUGGGAGGUUUACCAAUAAUUUUCUUUGGUGGAGAGGUCACCAGGAUUUAUCUAAAGAAGACUGUACCUAUCAGGUCUAUUUGGUAUGAGGAGUCUACGUGGGACUGUCCGUAGUGGAAAAUCCGCCAAAGGGAAACCUGAGAAAGACAUAGUCUUAGCAAAAAUGUUCUGAAAAGGAAAUAUCCUACGGGGUUAUCCUGCGGACAAGUCUGUAAGGAAAGGGUGUUCAACAAGCAGCCAAAUGUCAUAUACGAGACUACAAGUGAAGAUGUUGAAAUUGGGUUUCCUUAGGGAAGGGUCUAUUCUAGGGCUAAGUCGAAGGAAGAUAGUUUCCGGGGUAAUAAGGUAAUCAUAUAAUGAGUUCAAUGUGAAAUGAAUAGAUCAGGGCAAGGAUCCUCCACUGAAGCCGUUACAACGUAAGUCCACUGGUAGAAGUCGAGAGUGUAAAUGAUUUGUGUUUGUGACUAUAUUUAGAGAGGCAAGCUAGGAAAGGUAAUAUGGAUGUCUGUAAGGAAGCUUUUCUUGGUUAAAUCCCAGAAGAAAUGGAUAUUUGGAAAAGUGAAUGUAUGCCUAAACCAUGGAUUAAGUCUGCCAAAUGACUGGCUCAAAGAUUCCAAAGCUUGUUAUGCCAACAAAUCAGUAGUCUUCUUAAGAUGCUCAGGGGGUUUUAAAUUAUGUGUUUUUCUUUUGUUCUAGAAACAUAGUGCUUUUGUUCAUUGAUGUACAGAAUCUUACUAAGUUCAAUUGAAAUUACGAUAGUGUUGCCUUGGAUGCAGGAUUAAAAUUAUUGGAGUCGUUGUGGGAAGGGACCAAGCCGGACACCUCCAGCCUUGUGCGAAGGGCGCGGUAGCUGUACCAUGCAUAUAAAGGGGCACCCUUAGUGGCCACACCUCGGGGAUCAAGUGGAUAUAUCUGUAUUAAAAUUUAAAUUUUAAAUUUUUUUAAAUAGUUGUGAGAUGAAUAAGGUAGAAGUUUAUAAUAAUGUAAUACUCAUAUGAUGAGUUAUAAUAGAAGUUAAAAAUUGAAAUUUGUUACUGUCUAAGUGGGUAAAUAAAUCUGGUUAGAAAACUUGUCAAGUAAUACGGUUUUGUAAUGCCCCAGAAUUUGGGUCUAGAAGUAUUGGGCCUUGAGCAAGGGAAUGGUUAGGAAACUGUGCAUAAAAGUAUGUCUGCUUUAGUGGUUAAGGGUCCUGAGAGGAGUUGGAAAAGUAUGUCAUGAUAUAUUGCAUGGGGAUGGGUUGUUAUAUUUGGAGGAAGUGUACCGUACUGAUAAGGUUGCACGGGUCGUCCAAGACGACUGUGGACCUACUGAUGGUUAUGUGUCGCUUAUUUUACUGGCAGCUUUGCUGCAGUACUGUUUAGUGCCGCAACCGGUGCUAAUCUUGGUGUGUCUAGCUGGGUGGGUCGAUUUUAUCCCUACAUAGUGUGUUUGGCGGGACGGAAUGGUGUGUUGAGGCUGGAUUGGGUAGGAUUUCUAACUGCAUAUCUGCACUGAUUAAGGAUUUUGUACUGUUACUGCAUCGAUUAAUGAUAUUACAUACUGUUCACUGCAUGACUGAUAUCUGUUACUGUUAUGGGUCAAGGCCCCACUGAUAAUAUUACUGAAAUUGGGCAAAAGCCCUACUGAUUACUGGCAUUGUGAUGGGCUCAAGCCUAAUCAUUUACUGUUACGGGAAAGGGCUUAGGCCCACACUGAACUGGAUUGUUAUUGUAACGGGCUCAGGCCCAAACUGCAUUUAUCUACUGUUUAAUUGACUUUUUACUUGUUAGGGGAUUACACACUGAGUUUUCGUAAACUCACCCUUGCCUUUUUACUGUACAAGUAAUCCUCAACCAUAGGCGAUUUGGUGCUGCGAGGGACUCGGAUGUGGCCACACAACUGCAGCUGUUCUACACUGCUUUUAAUUAAACUUAAAUUUUAUGUUAGGUUUGGUUUAUGUAAUAAGGCCUUUUAUAUUUGUUUAAUUUUUUUUAAAUGGGGAUUUGGCUUACUUAUUUUAAACAACUAAUUUAGGAGAAAACGUAUUUUCAAAAUAACUACUAUUUUCCAAGACACGAAAUUAAAACUUUAGAGUAUUCAAAAGGUUCCGCGAUUUUAGAUCAACCUAUUAAGACAAUAUCAGAUAACAAGACAAACGUUUUGACUAGUUGAUUGUUAAUUAAUAAAAAAAGGGUUUAUUUUAAACUUAGAAACAAAUUUUUACCAACGAGUCUAUUUUUUGAAAGACACUUCAAUGUGACACGCCAGAUUCGGCCAUAACUCCUAGGCCAGGUUUGGGGUGGUACAGGUUUAACUGUGACAUUCGAUACUCAGACUCGGUGACCAGGUCGGGUGUAGGGUGUCACAAAAAGAGAGAGCUCAUCUCAUUUCUAUUCAUCCAUGCCAAAUAUUGAAGAAGAAUAAGAAUGAAAAUUGGUUUAGGGUUCUAAGAUUUCAAGCUUCAAAUUGGUUAGUGCCAUUUAAUCAUUUUCUUAUAAUUUUUAUGUUUUUGAAAUCCUGAGAGCUUAAGCUAGCUAACUUGUGUGAUAUUUUUCAAAACCGUUAAAGUUUUGGAAAUAUGUAAUUGAUGAUAUCUUGAAGUUUUAGGUACUAAAUCGAUAGAUUUUAAGCUUAGGAGUGAAAAAUGACUAAUUUAUAUAGUUGUUUGAUAGUUUCACACAAUAGGUACUAAAAUGCAUAAAUUACGAAAUUAGAGGUGGAAAUGAGUAAUAGGAGGUCCUAAAUGGAUUGCAAUGAAAUCCUAUUAAAAAUUUGAGUUCUAUAUUGAAAGUUAUGUUAGUCCCAAUUUUAGGGACUAAAUUGAAUAAAUUGUAAAUGUUGUUUAAAUUUGAAAUUGAGUGAAUUUGAUUUUGUAUUGACGAAUCAUUGUGUUUAUGUUAAUCUGUAGCUAAUGUCAACCCGAAUUCCUAAAAAAGGAAAAGAAAAGACAAAACUGUUGAUAAAUAGCUCAGAGUUUACAAUUUAUAUUUUUAUAAUUCGAACUACUUCUUUUGCUGCAUUUAUGAACUGUUUUGCAUGGUAAGAUCAUAAGGUGAGUUGAAAAUGAUAAAACGAGUUGAAUUGAUCCGAUUCGGAUCUGGUUGUUUGUAAAGAGGACUAAAUUAAAUAUAUUCGGCAAUGUCGCACAUUGAUAUAAAUGUUAAAUUGAGUCCAUUUUGAAAUGGAUUAUGUUGUCAUAUACAUAUAUUGAUGAUUUAUAGAUGAAAUAAUAGUAUUGAUUUGAAAAAAAAAUUAUUAAUGAAACUGAGAAAUUGUUACCCUAUUAACUGUUUGGGCAGAGUUAGAUAUAAUUGGCAUGCCAUAGGAUAGGAAGAUUUUAGGGUUAUUACGACUAUGAGUCGAGGAGUGACUGGUUAUACUAACUAGCACUGGGUUUAACUUACUAUUUCAGAUUAUUCGAUAGGCACUAGGUGCCAAACCGGUGUGAUUGGUUGGAUCUGUGUAUCCGUCCUAGUCUGAGUCAAGUUAAUAGGGAAUUAAAAAUGUAAAAUGGAUCUUGAAUUGUGGAAUAAAUUGGUAGAAUAAUUGGCUAUGUUCAUUGAAUAGAAAGUUUAGAAUAGAAAUAUGACAAUAGCUUGUGUGAUAUCAACCAUGGUAUAAAAUGCAUUAGAUGUUAUAAUUGUGGUAAAAUGAUGAAAUGGCAUGGCUUGACACAUGAAUGGCAUGUAAAUCUUAUGAACUUUACUUUAUGAUUUUGUAUGUUUUCUAUUAUGAAUUUUUAUUCGGAUGAUGGAAAUACCAUUAAGUUCAUACUCAGCGUACAAUUUUGUUCUUCGUGCGUAGGUUAGGGUGAUUGUGAGCGUCCCACAGUAUUAGGAUCGAACAAUAAUGCCAGGCUCAACAACUGGUGAUGUUUCCUGUACUUUAAUGGCAUGUACCUAAAGGAGUAAUAUGUUAUAUAAUUCUAAGUUUAAAGAAUGAUUUGGUAUUUUGAUGUGGGUUGUAUAUGUAACAGCCUGGUUUUCAGUAGUGUCAGAAAUAGUGAUUCUGGGACCACGAUUCCGACGAGUGAGUCAGUAAAUAUUAUUCAUUAAUACUUACGAGCUUAUUUUAGUGUUAUAUUGAUCAUUGAUUUGAUAGUUGGUUGAAUUGGAUGUAAUGUUGAUGUAUGGACUAAACUGUAAGAAUUAUUGACUACCUAGUUAAAUGUAUUUCAUAAAAAUUGAUCGAGGUGUUAUGUGGCAGUUAACCACAUUUUCCUAGUAAUGAACGAUUAGUGUUGGGUGUUUAAGUAGAAUCUUUAGUGGAUGGAAAGAGAGUCAUCAUUCUUAUCUUCCUCCACUUAAAACAUCUCCAUUAGAGAAUAAAGAAAAGCUCUUGGUAUUUUUGAACAAUCAGUUUUGUAUGUAAGUGUUUUCAAAGCCUAUUUUUCAUGAAUUUUAUGUUUUUGAGAUUGUUGUAUCUCGAUUUAGUUAACUUGUGUGUCUAAUUUCAAAACUGUUAAAGUUUGAAGAGUAGUUAUUAAUAAAUUGAAUGUAUUAACGUAUAGAUCAAGAACCAAAUCAACCAGUAGAUAACUGAUGCAGUUGUAAACCAACUAAACAUCCGACAAAUACAAGUGCACCUAUCAGUUAAUAGUAUAGCUACGGUGAGCAAAAAUAUUGUUUUCACGAGGACUAAAAGUACUAGUAAUACUACCUUUCUAUUAUUUAACUGAUAAAAUGGAACGGUUGAUUAAGACUAAAAUUAACUAAAUUAAUUAACUAAAGAACACGAGAAAGAACAAAUUAGGAAAAUAAAUGAUUAACAACAAAGAAGUGAGACAACACCUAGGAAAGAAUCCACCUAGAUUUCAUCUGUCAUUGUCAAUCUAAAUUACGCAACAUCUUCACUUAGUAUCUUCAUCCGUAGAAAUCCCUAAAUUAUGCUAAUAUCCCUCUUCAAGACUAAGAGCAACUGACUCUAAGUUGAUUAAUUGAAAUUUUUUUCUAAUUAAAGCCCCUAUUAUCACAUUAACUCGAUAUACGGAUUCCCCUAUUAGAUUUGACUCUAAUUCGAUAGAUUUAUAUCGUCCUAUUUCUAGGAUUGCAUGGAACUCCACUCAAUUAUGCUAGAUCUACUCUUAAACUGGGUCUAUUCCUCCUUUGAUUCAAGCAUAUCAAACAUGGAUUAAUAGUCUAGAAUUAUUAAACCAAGAAUUAAGCACACAUAAUUGAGAAUAAGAUCCAAGAAUUUAUUGCGUAAAAAUAGAAAUUAAAUAACAGAAUCCAUCCUAGGGUUCAUCGCUCUAGGUAUUUGAAAAAUUAGUUCAUGAUAGCAAAUAAAAACAUUGUAAAGACAAUACAACCAUAAGAAACAAAGAAACUCAUAACAAACUUCAAAGAAAUCAAAAGGAUAUCUUCAAUCUUGAUGGAAAUUUGCUUCAAAUUCAGCUUCAAUGGUGUUUCCCGAGUUGUUUUUUUUAGUAUUCUGUAACGGCCGUCCCUUAUCUUCUUAUUUUUUUCAUAUAUAUAGGUAUUAAAAUGCCAGAAAACUAAAAAAAAUGCAUUUUCCGGUAGGUUUGGAGUGUGAUUUGUGAUUUCCAUAUGGUCUGGCACAUGGCUGUGUGGUAGCUCGUGUGGUUCACACAGCCGUUUGACCAAAAAAUUAUAAUUACAAUAAUUAUAAUAAUAUUUGAUCCUAAAUUAUAAUUACAAUAAUUAUAACACGGAUUUCGGUAAAUUAUUUUUAGUUAAAUUUUAUACAAAUCAAUUCAUAUAUUAAUUUAACCAUAUUUUUCAUUAUAUGUACAACAUACUUGUACAUAUAAUUCCUUCGAUAUUUAACUUCCCAAUUGAAUUAAUUCUAUAAUUAAUUUAAUUCAUGUGACAACUAAACUCAAUACCAACUAUGUUUCGAUUCCGUUCGUUUCAACCAUAGGGUGUGACCUUUUAGGUUCUUGUGACGUUAGCAGUAAUACUAGAAGAAUUCUAAUAUUACAAACAAUGAGUGGCAUGUAGCAAUGCAUCAUUGCUACCUAAGUUACAAGAAGUCAUGAUUCGACAUAACCUCUCUGUGAUUACCCCUUCAUGUAUUAAAUCCUUUUGUCAUUUAUAUCUAGAAUGGACACAAGUCAUGGAAUAGUCACACUUGCAUAGCCCAUCUAAUGUUUCUUGGUAUCUUGUGUAGAUUAUGAAAAACAAAUACGUACGACAUCUCAUAUCAACUUAUUCGAGCAUGGCCAUGCAUUUUUAGUCUCACUCAAUCAAUGACAACACUUUGUCAUGAAUAAACUCCAUGUUAGUAUUAAUACAUUAUUGUUGUCCAAGCCCACAAUAAUACUCAACUAAGGAUCUUUUAAGAAUAAUCAUAUUAUUCUCAGGACAUUAUUAUAAAACAAUUUAUUUAUAUACAUAUAAAAUAAACUGAAAUAAUAAUGGCUAUGCCUUAUAUUAAUAAACAAGGUAAAAUAAGUAUGUUAUUACAAUCAUCUCAUGAUUGAUCUUUGGGCAUACUCUAACAGAAAAAAAAAACAUCCUCACUAAAGAUUCACUCACAACACUUACAGUGUUUAAGGUUCAAAUAAUGUGCACUCAAUAGUCAAACGAGAAAUGUUAUUACCAUUGGCUUACUUGAAAAUCAAAUCUUCACCACUAUAAAUGAGAUGACACAUCAAUCAAUAGGUCUUUACAAGGUUGUAAUGGGCUUAGGUUAAAGGUAUUGAAAAUGUUAGAAAAGUAGGUUAUAAUCAAGAGUUGAGUUGAUAAGUUACCAAACUAGAAAAAAAAUAUCAGUUGCUGAAUUAAAAGAAUUCACAUCAACAAGAAAUAUCACAAAUGGAACUGAGCUGUUCCACAUAAUAUGAAACUAAUUAUUCAAGCUCAAUCAAAUAUAAUUUUUUAAUAUAUUUUUUCUUUUUUCUUUUUUUCCCUUUUGAUUUUUUUAAAACAAAACAAAAUUCAGCAAUUCAAAUAAUGAAACAUAGUUAGGAAACUAACCAAAUAAAAUCUCGACAAAAAGGGAGUUAAUAAAAAGGAUAAUUUUACAACAUAGAUAUGAGUUAUGGGUUAACAUUAACGGGUUAGAAAAAAAUGUGUUAGGAUCAACAGGAUUUACUAAGGGUUAAUUCAAUAGGUAAGCUUUUUACAGGUUAAGUGGGUUAAAUCCUAAGUACCUCUAUCAUCUCAGUAUAUCAAAUCAAUAAUGUGGUCUUUAUAUGCAUAAUCAAAGCAAGUUCUAGAACUCCAAAUCAAGUUGACAUACACAAAACCAAAGAUAAAAUGAGCAAGAAAUAAAAUAUAUGCUCUAUAGGGUCAAAAGCUCACAAAAAUUAUGGUUCUGAUGUCAAACUUGCAAAUUUAAAAUUUUAAAAUAAUUUUUCAGUUCAGGGAGACAAUCUAAAAUUAUAAUAUUUGAAAAAAAAACUUAUCAUGCUUAAAGUAUAAAUCACAGAACACACAAAAAUCCACAAAUUAUUCCAAAACCAAAUCAAUAAAAACUCCAAAUUAAAAGAAAUUAUUUCAAUGUUCGAUUUGAUAAAAUUACUUAAACACAAACAAUAAUUCAGAGUCUAUAUCGUAUAAACAUAUAAAACCCUCCCCACACUUAAAAUGUACAUUGCCCUCAAUGUACAAACAAUUAAAAUCACAUAAUAAGUACAAUAUCAUAAGGAGGAAAAGAACUAAAAUUGCCCUGAAUUUGGAUGAAUUCAUUGAAAUAUUGAAAACCGGAAUUGUAGGCGAUUCUAAAUGAAGUGCAUGUUUCCAAGCAAACUAAUAAGAAAAUAGAAAAAAAAUGAAUAAGAAGAUAAAGAGAUAACAAAAUAGAAAAACAACCGUUAAAACAAUAAAAGUACAAUGCAUAAUAAAAUAAAAUAAAAUAAAACAAAAAAAAAACAGAAACAAAAGUAAAGACAAAAGACAAAAGACUAAAGACAAAACAAAAACAAAAACAAAAACAAAUAAAAUAUAAAACUAAAUGAAAUCGUUUUGGUUGGGGUAGGAAGAAAACAAAAGAAUAAGAAAAAUAAGGUCAUGUGCUAGGCCAUGUGAGCCACAUGGCCGUAUGGUCAGGUCGUGUGUGCCACACGGCCAUGUGAAUUCACCCAGACCGUGUGUUAUUUAAUAAUAGAGAAAAAUAAGCGUAGAAACCACACGGCCAUAUGUUAGGCCAUGUGCGAUGCUCCUUCGCUUCUCCCACGCUUGUGUGCGAGCUCGUGUGAGCCACACAGUCUACCACACGUCCGUAUGUCUUACACGGCCAUGUCUCCAGCCUGUGUGGGUCAAAUUAAAAUUGGAAAAAUUAGCUCCUGUAUGCACAUGGCCUAAGACAUGCCCGUGUAUCCAGGUUGUGUGGAUCACCUUAGACCAUAUGGACAACUUUUUUUUUCAAAAAUUCUUUUUCAAUUUCUUUUUUGAAAUUGCUUCAUAAGUUUUUUUUUUCAAUUUGUUUUUCAUUUCUUGUUUUUUUUUAAAAAGUCAAAAGUUUUUUCAAUUUUUUUUUUCAAAAUAACAUGAAAGUAAAAUAAAUAAAUAAAAAUAAAAACAGUUGGGUUGCUUCUCGAGAAGUGCUUAAUUAGAGUCUAAGCUUGACUUCCCUUUUUAAGCUCACAGUUAAGUCAAAUCUUGGAGUUGGAGCUCCUCUCUCUCGUUAUCAGUAUUACCACCAAAAGAAAGUUUGAGAUUAUGUCUGUUUACCAUGAAUGUGCGGUAAUCAAGGUGUGUUACCUCAUUGGUUUCGUAUGGAAAUACGAUUUUACCACACAUGGGUCAGACCCUUUUGACUUGAACUUUGAAGGAAAAAUUCGUGGAUCCGAUUUGUCUAACAACCCUUUGUCCCCAACUUUGAAUUGGUUCAUUCUCUUUACAUGCACAUCAUGGCGUUGCUUUGUUACUUCCUUUUUCUUUCUUGGUUUCUCCUCAAAUUUGUUCGCCAUUCAUCUAGUUCAUCGAGCUGCACCAUUCGCUCUUCACUCUUCACUCGAGUUAUAUCACUUUGAAUAAAAAAUGGCUCCAACACAUUUUCAUGAGGGAUUUCCUGCAAAGAACGUUGAGUCACAUGAUUACCAACAUUAACUGAAGAAUUAGUAUCAUCUCGCUCACUAGGGACUCUCACGAAAUCACGUGCUUGAAGUGUAAUCUUUUCAUUACCUACACGAAGCACAAGUUCACCAGUACCCACAUCAAUAACAGUUCUAGCAGUGGCUAAAAAGGGUCGACCUAAGAUCAUAGGUACCUUAAUAUUUUCAUCCAUGUCCAAUACAACAAAAUCAAUAGGGAAUAUAAAUUUAUCAACUUUCACAAGUACAUCCUCAAUAAUAUCUCUAGGAUAUCUAAUUGAUCUAUCCGCUAAUUGAAUUCUCAUCCUAGUGGGUUUGGGUUCCCCAAGACCAAGUUGUUUGAACAUCUUAUAAGACAUGACAUUUAUACUAGCCCCCAAAUCAACCAAAGCUUUUUCAACAUUUAAACUACCAAUGAGACAAAGAAUAGUAAAACUCCUUGGAUCUUUAUGUUUGUUGGGUAGUUUGUUUUGGAAAAUGGCCGAGCAAACUGCAUUGAGCUCCACAAUCGACAAGUCAUCUAACUUCCUUUUAUUUGUUAACAACUCCUUUAAAAGUUUUACUUACUUUGGCAUCUGUGAAAAGGCAUCAACAAAUGGUAAGUUAAUGUGCAAAUUUGUUAACAGCUUCCUCAACCCUUCUACGCUUCGGAUAGUGAUUGCGUAGAUUUGCUCUUUUAGGUUAGUUUCAAUUUUGAUAGGUAAGCUUCUUGUGGUCUUUUGGAAAAAAGUUUGGCAAAGUGUCCAAUUUGAUUUUCAAGUCCUUGAAUUGAUGCUUGCUGAUUUUUCAAAGCUAUCUCAGUGUUUUGAAAUCGAGUUUGUGACACCGAAAUAAAUUUAGCCAACAUCUCUUCAAGGUUCGAUUUCUUCUCUUGCGAUAAGGCUGCCCCAAAGGGGGUUGUGACAUUUGAUUAUCUUGAUCACCCUAAGAGAAAUUUGGAUGGUUCCUUCAACCUCUAUUAUAACUAUUGCUAUAGGGGUUAUUUUGAGAUCUUGAAUGAUUACCUAUAAAGUUGACUUGCUAAUGCUCCAUGUUAGACUUGAAGGGUGAAUAUUCUGAAUUAAUCAUCCCCACUCCAUUUGUAUCACACUACAUCAUCAGAUUCACCUGCCUAGAAAAAUUCAAACGAUCAAUUUUCUUACCAAGAGCUUCAACCUGAAUUGCUAAGAUAGAAACUGCAUCAAUAUUAAAAACACUGGUUACUUUAAUUGGUUUCGUUCUCUUGACUUGCCACUAAUAGUUAUUCAAUGCAAUCUCCUGAAUUAACUCUUGAGCUGCCUCAGGUGUUUUGUUAUUCUAUGUUCUGCCAACUACUGCAUCAAUUAUCUAUCUAGUCGAGGGAUUCAAACCAUUGUAGAAGGUUUGAACUUGCAACCACAAAUGUAACCCAUGAUUAGGGCACCUUCUCAACAGAUCUUUGAAUCUCUCUCAUAGAUCAUAUAAUGUCUCCAAAUCAAUUUCAGAAAAAGAAGAGAUGUUCCUCAACUGAGCACUUUCAGCCAGUAGGAGGUACUUCAACAGAAACUUCUCAGUCAUCUGAUCCCAAGUCAUGAUAGAACCUUGUGGCAAUAAAUUUAACCACUAUUUUUCCUUGCUCCUAAAAGAGAAUGGGAAAAAUCAUAAUUGUAUGAUGUCAUCAGUAGCGCCAUUAAUCUUGAAAGUGUCGCAAGUCUCUAGAAUGUUAGCCAAAUAAGUAUUCGAAUCUUCAUCUUGCAAACCAUCACACUGAACAUACUGUUGUACCAUUUGAAUUGUGUUUGGCUUCAGCUCAAAGUUGUUUGCAGCAAUAGUGGGUCUCACAAUACUCGAUUCAACCCCAAUCAGAGUGGGCUUAGCAUAAUCAUACAUAGUAUAAGGAGCAGGAGUUGCAGGAGGUAGCUUAUAAUUUUGAUUAUUACUCAUCUUCACAGUAAUAUUCUUUUCCUCUUGAUUGCCUACUUAUUUUGUUUAUUUUGCCUUGCUUCUUUUACCGCUCUAUGAUUUCUGCGAGUAGUCUUUUCAAUCUCUCUAUCAAAAAGUAAUAGAUCGAAUGGGUUCCCCCUAGUUAUAAACCAAAAGAACCUGCCAAAAGAAAACAAACAAAAAAUUAGAAUGUAAAAAUUAAAUUAAAAACAAAAAUAUUAAAAUAAAAAAUUCCUAAAUUAAUAGAAAUAAAGUUUUCCUAAUAUUUUAGUCCUUGGAAACAGCGCCAAAACUUGAUGCAGUCGUAAACCAACUAAAAAACUAACAAAGGUAAGUGCAUCUAUCAAUUAAUAGUAUAGCUACGGUGAGUAAAAAUAUCGUUCCCACGAGGACUAAAAGUACUAGCAAUUAUGCCAUUCUAUUAUUUAAUCGAUAAAAUGGACUGGUUGAUUAAGAGUAAAAUUAACUAAAUUAAUUAACUAAAGAACACGAUAAAGAACAAAUCUGGACAAUAAACGAUUAACAACCAAGAAACGAGAAAUACCCAAGAAAGAAUUGACUUAGAUUUCAUCUGUCAUAAUCAAUCUAAUUAUACAAUUUCUUCACUUAGUAUCUUAAUUUCAUAGAAAUCCCUAAUGUAAAAGCCUAAUUUUUACUUGAGACAAAAUAGUGGAUUUGGGACGGCAAAUUUCUGUCGUGUCAACUAGUAAAUAUUAUUUAUAGAAUAUUUAUAAAGUAAUUAGAGUCUUAUUAAAAUUUGGUUAAGAAAUUUUAAUGUUUAGAUAGUUAAUGAAAGAAAAAGUACUAAGUUGUAAAAGGUGCAAAACUUAGUAAUUAUUGCAUUUAGGUGAUCAAAUAGCUUAAUUAAUAGAUGAGGAAGGAGUUAAGUAGAAAUUAUGUCUUAGUUAACAUGGUGGCACAACAUUUUGGUUGAAAAGGAUAAAAUAAUAUAAUUACAAUGGUAAUUUUGUAAUUUAAUGGAAAAUUAAAACAAAUUAAAGAAAGAUUAAAACAUUUUUAUAUUCAUUUCUUCUUCUCUAAUUGACCGAACACCAUAGCUAGGGAGCAAGGUUUUUGUUUUGAUUGUUCCUUUGCAUGUAAGUGAAGUCGAUGUCUAUUUCUUGUAAUUUUUAUGUUUUUAAGAUUGUUGCAACUAGGUCCAACUAGCAUGUACAUUUGUUUUUGAAUCUGUUAAAAAUUUUAGAAGUGGCCAUUGAUGAAUCUUGAAUUUUUUUGAUGAUAAGUAUGUAUUUGAAUAUUUGAUUGUAGUAUUUGGUGGUUUUGUGUAGUGAUUUUUGUUAGAUUUUGAUUUAAGGAUUAAUUAUGAAAAUGUUAAAAUUUGAGGGUUUGAUUAUAAAUUGGAUGUUUAAUAGGGACUAUUUAAGGGCCUAGUAUAUUUGGCUAAAAUUUUGACUUGAGAAAAAUGGUUAAAUUAAUGAUUUUGGGGUUAAAGGACUAAAUUGUAAAAAUUUUAAAAGUUAAGGGUAAUUAUGUAAUUUUGAAAAUUAAAGGGUAUAAAAUGUAAAGUGAAGUAGAAUGUGAAAUAUAAGCUAAUAUUUGAGGAAUUUCACAUUUUAGAUCAAGAUCCUGUUGAUAUACUUGGAAAAAAAAUCUCGGAUUAGUCCUUGAACUUCUACAACUACUACAAGUCAGUGUAAGUAAGUCGUACAGUUUACAAUUUAAUAUAUAUAUGAAAUGAGUGAUGAUAUAAUAUGAUAUAAUAUUUAUAAUUGUUUUAUCAUUGAUGUAAAGUUAUUUGAGAAAGAUUGAUGCAAUACUUUAAUCGGAUGAACGUGGGAUGGAGUACAAUCGAAUUAUGGCAUGUUAUGGGGGGAUUGGAAUGGAGAUUGUUGGUAGUGAUAUAUAUAUUUUCCCAAGCAGCCCGAGGUUCAACAUUUGUUGCGAACUCUCGUGUUAUACUACAUGUUUUGGUGUGUUUUCAGUUGGACUAGCUCUAAUGAGCAUCUGGCGUGUUAUCGAGUGGAUUAGGUCUUAUGAGCAUCUGGCGUGUUAUCAGGUGGAUUAGCUCUUACGAGCGAUUGGCGUGUUCCGGUUGGAAUAUCUAUGUACUUAUAUUUGUUUUUCGUUCAUCAGAUUGUAAAUCUCUGUAUUGUAACUUGUUUAGUGAUUUUGAUAGUUAUAACAUGUAUUUGAGCUUUGGAUUAAACUGUACAAUUCACUGGGUUGAGAUUUUGGAUGACAGGGAACACAUGUGGUUGAGUUAUUAUUGAAUGAUUUAUUGUAUUACUUCGGUUAGAUUUAUCAUUUUUUACCUCAACUUACGAAGCUUUAAAGAGCUUAUUUGUAUUAUUUUCUAUUCUUGUAGAUACUUUGAAGGUUGGACGGUCGGAUCCUCACUCAAGUCACACUAUCCACCUAUUUUCGGUAGUUUUUGGAAUGUUCAUUUUUUAUUAUAUGACAUGUAAUAUGCUUGUUUGUCAUUGCUAUUGUUUUGAUAUGUAAAAUAUUAAAGUAUGAUUCUAAAUGGAAGUAGUUAACUUAAUAUGAUAUAUGUGAACUAAGGAAGAUGUUUAAGUGCAAGUUUAUGGUAAGUGUUACUGGAAUGUUGUGAUUGAGGUGCCUAUGAUAGGCAUAUUGGUUGAAUGUUGAAUUGUGUGAAUUAACAUGCCUUGGGUGAUAGUUCAUUUUGUUGUGAAAUUGUAUAUAAUUGUGGUACCAAUGCGGGUACAUUGGUUAAGCACUUAGGAUGGUUGCUUUAACAUGUUUUGAGCUUGUUUAGUAUCAUUUUAAAUAGGUCUUUUGGCUGGUAAAUGGAUUACUUAGGGUUCAAGUAAGCUUGAAAUGGUAAACUUGUCAUUUAAUGUUCAUUUGGGUCCACACGGCCUGAGAUACGAGCGUGUAAGGCACAGACCUGGUGAUACAACUAUGUGUCACCUGAUGAUUUCUUUAGGGUGCAAGUCAGUGAGUUACACAGCCUAACACAUGGCCUGGCACACGGGCAUGUGAGGUAACUCAGAUAGUUACACGGGUGAGGACACGGAGUGGGACACGACCGUGUGUCCCUAGUUUGAUAGUUACACGACCUGAGACAUGGAUGUGUGUCUUAACUAUGUGAGGCACACGGCCGUAUGACCCCUAUUUUUUCAAAUUUUGCAUCUUUUUCCUAAACAUUCCAAAUUGUUUCAAAUUGGUCCCAAUUUGUUUCUAGGUUAUCUUUAGAGCCUCGAGGACUCAAUUUAGGGACAAUAUGCAUGUGUAUGAAUGGUUUAUGAUGUGAUUAUAAUAUUGGAUAGUAUAAUGUGAAAUUGUUUUUGAUUGUAUAGUAAUACUCCAUAAACCUAAUCUAGCGACGGAGACGGGUUAGAGGUGUUACAUUUAGUGGUAUCAGAGCUACGAUUUAGUCGGCUCUCUGACAAAGCGUAGUGUGUAAAAUGUCUAGAAUUACAUGCCAUAUAAAUCUGUGAUAGUGUGACGCGUUUGAUCCGAUCUAACCUCUGUUUUUCUUAUAGAUUAUAAAGAUGUCAGACGGAUCUGGUCGUGCUGAGAAUGAUGAGGUUUAUAGUAAUAUACCGACCUCAGAACAAGGGACGAGUAGUAAUAUUUUGAUUCUACAUGUACCUAAACAUGAACUUAAAAUCUUAUUUUUCGGGUUUAUGAACUAGUGGUUUAAUGAGUUUAUGCAAAUGAAUACUGCGGGUCAACGGCCUCCUUCCCCUGUUACACCUCCCGUUACACCUCCACCUCCUUUUAUGACUGAAUCUAGCCGACGUAUACCGAUUGAAAAGCUUAGAAAAUGUGGUGCUGAAGAAUUCAGUGGUAGAUCAGAAUAUGAUCCGGUUAAAGCCGAGUAUUGGCUUUAGAACAUCUUAUGAGUUUACGAAGAAAUGGCUUGCCUUCCUAAUGUUUUUCUUAGAUGUGUCGUUUCAUUGUUAAAAGAAUGAGUGUACAGGUUGUGGACUACGUUGGUAGCUGUGGUACCGAGGGAGAAAAUUACCUGGGAUUUCUUUUAGAUCGAGUUCAAAAAGAAGUAUGUUGGAAGAUGGUAUCUAGACAAGAAAAAGAAGGAAUUUCUUGAGUUACAACAAGGAAAAAAGUCAGUUGCUGAGUACGAGAGAGAGUUUGUGUAUCUCAGUAAAUAUGCCCGAGAAAUUGUACCUACUGAAGAAGAGAUGUGUAUCUUAUUUAAAAAUGUCCUGAAUGAUGAAAUUAGAAUGAUCAUCUGAGGUAAUGCAAUCGAAGAAUUUGUUGUUUUAUCUGAUCGUGCAGAAAAAAUGAAAGAAGUGUACAACUAUAAGAUACAAAGGAAUAAAGGGAUUCGAGAGUUUAACAAGAGAAGUUCUUCUAAGUCAUUUUUUAUACCACUAACAAAGAAGAAUAGAGAAGACUUUAGUUGAGCUACUUUAGUGUCUAAGCAUCCGAACAAAAAUAAAUUGAUUCAGCAUGAUUUUAAGACUCCUACAAAACCAAUUGAUAGUGUGGGAAGUGCACGGAACACUCCAAAGCUUAGAUGUAAACAUUAUGGAACGCAUCAUUUUGGUAAAUGUAGAGCUAAGUUGGGGGCAUGUUAUAGAUGCGGAUCAACUGAUCACUUUCUUUGAAAUUUUCCUAAAUAGUUAAAAGAAAAUGAUGAACAAAAUGAAAAGUAAAUGUCUACAUCUCAUAAAAGUAGACGUUCGAGCUAGAACAACACUAUUAGGACUCCUCAUGCGGGAGCAAAAGAUAUGGUUGUUCGAUCAAAGACCAGAGCACCUACUCUUGUUAGAGUAUGCCCAAAGAUCAAUCAUGAGAUGGUUGUAAUAACAUACUUGAUUUAUCAUGUUUAUUAAUAUAAGGCGUUACCAUUAUUAUUUCAGUUUCUUUUCUGUGUGUAUAAAUAAACUGUUUUAUAAUAAUGUCCUGAGAAUAAUAUGAUUAUUCUUAAAAGGUCCUUAGUCAAGUAUUAUUGUUGGAUAGAACAACGAUAACGCAUGAAGACUAACAUGUAGUUGGUUGAUGAUAAAGAGUUGUCAUUGAUAUGGAGUGUUAGAAUCGAUGCAUGAAUAUGUGUGUUAGAGAACAACAUAUUGGACUGACCCGUUAUGAGUAUGUUUCUUAGAUUAUUAUGUAAUUGUCACGACAUUACUCAUAGUGAUUAAUAUGUAUAUGAUCCUCAGACUUGAGGUCAUCAUAAUCCCAACAUCGUGAGUUCUAUAUUUUGAUACAGUCAAACGUACACUGUAACUGGUUGUUCUAUAAAGGCUGAUGUUGGAUAUACCACAAUCUAUGUAGAGGGAUAUGAUUGAUCAAUAUAGGAUAAGUCCCUCCUACAUAAUGGGAGUAAUAUCUUAGGCCACUUGAUUGGGUGUGACUAGAAAUGCAUGGCCAUGCUCAAAUAAGCUGAUAUGAGAUGUCUUACUUAUUUGUAUAUCAUAGUCUACUUAAGAUAUCAAGGAACAUGGAAUGGACUAUACAAGUGUGACUAUUCCAUGACUUGUGUUCAAUCCAGAGAUAAAGGACUUAAGGAUUAGUGCAUGAAAUGAUUAAUCAUAAAAAGGUUAUGUCGAAUCAUGAUUUCUUGUGACUUAGGUAGCAAUGAUGCAUUGCUAGGUGCCACUCAUUGUUUGUAACAUUGGAAUCGUUCUAACAUUACUGCUAACAUUACAAGAACCUACAGGGUCACACCCUAUAGUUGAAAUGAACGGAAUAAAACAUAAUUGGUAUUGUGUUUGGUUGUCGCAUGAAUUAAAUUAAUUAUAGAAUUAAUUUAAUUGGGUAAUCAAAUAUCGAACACAUUAUAUAUACAAGGUUGUUGUACACAUAAUGAGAAUAUGAUUUUGGUUCAUAUAUAAAUAAAUAUAGUUUACCAAAAUCUUUAUUAUAAUUAAUGUAAUUAUAAUUUUUAGUUUUUUAAACAUUAUUAUAUUUAUUUAAUUUUGAAAAACCCUAAAAAAAUAACAAGAUAUAAAAUCUCGUUUUUCUUUGCUUAGUGAGUCUAGCAGCCGUCAAAGCAAAGUCUUCUCCAAAACUGUUUGGGUAUUCCUUAGAGGUCGGAGUCAUCAAAGAUUGUGGGUUGGUUCGAUAGUAGAUCAGAUUACUCAUUGCCGAGGCAUCGCUGUCUACUUAGAAUCACCAUUCGGUAAUUUCGAAACCCUUUUUCACUCCGAUUCGUUCUUCACACAUGGAUCCAUGGUUAGGAUCUUCGGGUGUUAUAUUUUUCCGCUGCGCCGUAAGGGUGCCGGCGUUCCAACAACUCUAACAUGUGCCAUCUGAGCCAGAGAAGAAGCUGCUGCACCUGAUGUGAUUGCUGGUACGUUCUAUCUCUUUGAUAUUACUGUGUAUGCACUGAUUGACCCUGGGUCAACUCACUCUUAUAUUUGCACUACAUUAGCAACAAAAAUGAAACUACCUAUUGAAUCAACUGGAUAUGAUAUUCAUGUUACUAAUCCACUAGGUCAGAAUAUGAUAGUUAACUUAGUUUUUCGUAAAAGUCCACUAAAAAUUAGAGGCUGUGAAUUCCCUGCUGAUUUGAUGUUACUACCCUUUCUUGAAUUUGAUGUUAUUUUGAGUAUGGAUUGGCUAUCAUUACACGAUGCUGUGGUAAAUUGUGGAUAAAAAUAGAUUUAUUUGAAAUGCCAGACAUAAGAGAUGGUUUCAGUUGAAUCUGAUAGGUCGAAUAGUGUUGUUAGAAUCAUUUCAGCUAUUUCUGCAUAGAUAUUGAUACGUAAAGGUAGUGAAGCAUUUCUAGCAUACAUCCUUGAUAUCAGAGAUUCAGAGUUGAAGUUAGAUCAGUUAUCGAUUGUUAGUGAGUUUACUGAUGUAUUUCCUGAACAGUUACCGGGUUUUCCUCCUAAUUGGAAAGUUGAGUUUGUGAUUGAUUUGGUUCUUAGAACUGCGCCGAUAUUAAUAUCACCGUAUCGUAUGGCAUCAACUGAGUUAAAGGAGUUGAAAACACAGUUGCAAGAAUUGUUAGAAAGAGGGUUUAUUCGACCGAACGUAUCACCCUAGAGUGCACUUGUGUUGUUUGUGAAAAAGAAAGACGACUCUUUAAGAUUGUGUAUAGACUACAAACAAUGGAACAAAGUCACAAUAAAGAAUAAGUACCCCUUGCCACAUAUUGACGAUUUGUUUAAUCAAUUAAAAGGUGCCACAAUGUUCUCGAAGAUAGACCUCAGAACCAGGUAUUACCAGUUACAAGUUAAGGAUUGUGACAUGUCAAAGACUGCUUUUAGAACUCGUUACAGCCACUAUGGAUUUCUCAUAAUGCCAUUUGGAUUAAAAAAUGCUCCUACUACUUUUAUGGAUUUAAUGAGUUGGGUUUUUCAGCCUCAUUUGGAUAGAUUCGUGGUUGUGUUUAUUGAUGAUAUAUUGAUCUAUUCUAAAUCAGAAUAUGAACAUGCUCAACACCUGAGAAUCGUGUUACAGAUUUUGAGAGAAAAAUUGUUGUAUACAAAGUUCAGUAAAUGUGAAUUCUGGCUUUGCGAGGUUGGAUUUUUAGGUCACAUAGUGUCAGCUGACAGGAUUCGAGUCAAUCCGAGUAAAGUUUCUGCUGUAAUGAAUUGGAAAAUUCUGAAAAUGUUUCUAAAGUGAGAAGUUUUCUGGGUUUAGUAGGUUAUUAUUGUCAUUUUGUUAAAAUUUUCUCGAUCAUUGCUUCUCUGAUAACCAGCUUACUACAGAAAAACAUUGAUUUUGUUUGGUCUGAUAAGUGCCAACAGAGUUUUGAUCAGUUGAAAAAAAUGUUGAUAGAAGCUCCAGUAUUGACUCAGCCUAAGUCUGCGAUAACAUAUGUGGUUUACAAUGAUGCAUCUCUUAAUGGUUUGGGUUGUGUGUUGAUGCAAGCGGGGAAAAUAGUAGCUUAUGCUUCUUGACAGUUAAAGCCACAUGAAAGAAAUUAUUUAUACGGUGAGAAAUGUCACGUGUAUACGGAUCACAAAAGUUUAAAGUAUUUGAUGACCCAAAAGGAAUUGAAAUUGAGGCAGUGACAAUGGUUAGAGCUACUAAAGAUUAUAAUCUAGUUAUUGAUUAUCAUCUGUGAAAGGCUAAUGUAGUUGCAGAUGCACUCCGUUGAAAGUUGUCAUUGUUUACACUUCAAAAAUUGAAUGCUCAUUUAGCUUUGAAUGAAGAUGGUUCUGUACUGGCUGAGUUGAGAACUAAACCCUUGUUUCUACAGCGAAUUCGGGAGUUACAAAAUGAUGAUUCGAUGUUGAUAAUGAAACAAAAAUUGGUUUAGGAUAAUUUGAUUACUAAAUACAAUAUUGAUGAUUAUGGUACAAUGCGUUACCGUGAUAGGAUUUGUAUUCUGAAUUAUUUAGAUUUAAAACGUGAUAUUAUGUCUUAAGCUCACAGUAGUACGUAUUCCAUUCAUCCUGGUAGCAUGAAGAUGUAUUGUGAUUUGAAACAUAUGUAUUGGUGGUCGGGUAUGAAACAUGAGGUUUGUGAAUUCGUAGCAAAAUGUUUAAUUUGUCAGCAAGUAAAUGCAGAGCACCAGGUGCCAUUGGGUUUACUACAACCUGUUAUGAUUCCUAAGUGGAAGUGGGAGCAAGUCAUGAUGGAUUUCGUAUCUGGUUUUCCUGUAACUCUGAAAAAGAAAGAUUCAAUCUGGGUGAUUGUUGACAAAUUGACUAAGUCAACACAUUUUAUUCCAGUCAGAACAGAUUUUUCACUUGAGAGGUUAGUGGGAUUAUAUGUGUCAAAGAUUGUGAGAUUGCACAGAGUUCCGAAUCUAUUAUUUCUGAUCAUGAUCCAAUGUUUACAUCGAGAUUUUGGAGUAAACUUCACGAGGCUUUGGGCACUAAACUAAAUUUUAGUACAGUGUUUCAUCCUCAGAAGGACGAGCAAUCAGAAUGAGUGAUACAAAUUCAGGAAGAUAUGCUAUGGUGUUGUAUACUAUAGUUUCAAGGUAGUUGGGAAAAUUAUCUACCAUUAGCUGAAUUCACUUAUGAUAACAGUUAUCAAUCCAGUUUAACAAUGGCACCGUUUGAAGCUCUAUACGAAAGAAACUGUAAAAUUUCGUUACAUUAGUUUGAAUUGAGCGAGUCUAAAAUGGUGGGAAUUGAUUUGAUUUGAGAAACUGAAACAAGGUUCGAACUAUUCGAGAUUGUUUGAAAGCUGCGUCUGAUCGUCAAAAACCGUACACGGACUUGAAAAGAAAAGAUAUAGAAUUUACAAUUGGCGAUCGAGUAUUUCUAAAUUUUUUUCCAUGGAAGAAAGUGCUACGUUUUGGCAGGAAAGGGAAGUUGAGUCCGAGAGUUAUCAGACCGUACGAGAUUAUUGAAAGAGUCAGCCCUGUAGCCUACAGAUUAGCUUUGCUCCUUGAACUCUAGAAAAUUCAUAAUGUGUUCCACAUUUCAAUGUUAAGACAAUACAGAUCUGAUCCUUCACAUGUGAUUCCUUAUAGUGAGAUUGAAUUACAGCCAGAUUUGCGUAUUCUGAGGAACUAGUGAAAAUUUUGGCUCGAGAUGUUAAAGAACUACAGAAUAAACAGGUACCGUUAGUAAAAGUCUUGUGGCAUCGUCAUGGUACAAAAGAAGCUACCUGGGGAACCAAUGAAUCAAUGAAACUACAAUAUCCGAAUCUAUUCUUAGGUAACAAUUUUGAGGACGAAAUUUCUAAGGGAGAGAGUUGUAACAGCCCGAUUUUUAGUUGUGUUAGAAUAGUAGUUUUGAGCCCACAAAUUCCAUCAUGUCGACUCGUAAAUAUUAUUUAUAUAAUAUUUAUGGAGUCAUUAGAGUCGUAUUAAAAUUUGGUUAAGAAAUUUUAACGUUUAGAUAGUGAAUUAAAAAAAAGGACUAAAUUGUAAAAGGUGCAAAACUUAGUAAUUAUUGCAUCUAGGUGAUCAAAUAGCUUAAUUAAUAGAUGAGGAAGGACUUAAGUAGCAAUUAUGCCUUAUUUAACAUGGUGGGACGGCAUUUUGGUUGAAAAUGAUAAAAUAAUAUAAUUACAAUGGCAAUUUUGUAAUUUAAUGGAAAAUUAAAAUAAAUUAAAGAAAGAUUAAAACAUUUUUAUGUUCAUUUCCAAUUGACCGAACACCAUAGCUAGAGAGCAAGGUUCCAGUUUUGAUUGUUCCUUUUCAUGUAAGUGAAAUCAAUAUCUAUUUCUUGUAAUUUUUAUGUUUUUGAUAUCGUUGCAACUAGGUCCAGCUAACCCGUACUUUCGUUUUUGAAUCUGUUAAAAAAUUUAGAAGCGGCCAGUGAUGAAGCUUGAGUGUUUUUGAUGACAACUACGUAUAUGAAGCUUUGAUUGUUGUAUUUGGUGGUUUUGUGAAGUGAUUUUUGUUAGAUUUUGAUAUAAGGAUUAAAUUUUGAAAAUGUCAAAAUUUUAGGGUUUGAUAGUGAAUUUGAUGUUUAAUAGGGACUGUUUAAGGGCAUAGUAUAUUCGGCUGAAAUUUUGACUUGAGAAACUGGUUAAUUUGAUCAUUUUUGGGUUAAGGGACUAAAUUGAAAAAAGUUGUAAAAGUUAAGGGUAAUUGUCUAAUUUUAAAAAAUAAAAGGGUAUAAAAUGUAAAGUGAAUUGGAAUGUGAAACGUAAGCCAAUAAUUGAGGAAUUUUACAUUUUAGAUCAAGAUCCUGUUGAUAUGCAUGGAAAAAGAAAAAUCGCAGAUUAGUCAUUGAACUUCUACAACUACUACAAUUCAGUCUAGGUAAGUCGUAAGGUUUACAAUUUAAUAUCUAUAUGAAAUGUGUGAUGAUAUAGUAUUAUAUAAUAUUUAUAAUUGUUUCAUCGUUGAUGUAAAGUUGUUUGAGAAAUAUUGAUGAAUUUCAAUACUUGAAUCAGAUGAACGCGGGAUAGAGUACAAUCGAAUUAUGACGUGUUAUGGGGGGAUUGGAAUGGAGAUUGUUAUGGAGUGAUAUAUAUAUUUUUCUUAGUAGGCCGAGGUUCAGCAUUUGUUGCGAACUCUCAUGUUAUACUUACUGUUUUGGCGUGUUUUUAGUUGGACUAGCUCUUAUGAGCAUCUGACGUGUUCUCGGGUGGAUUAGCUCUUACGAGCGAUUGGCAUGUUUCAGUUGGAAUAUCUAUUUACUCAUAUCCAUAAGUCGUUCAUCAAAUCAUAAAUCUCAGUAUCAUAACUUUUUUUUUAUAGUUAUAACAUGUAUUUGAGCUUUGAAUUGAACUAUGCAAUUCACGGGGUUGAGAUUUUGGAUGACAUAGAACACAUGUGGUUGAGUUAUUAUUGAAUGCUUUAUUGUAUUAAUUCGGUUAGAUUUAUCAUUUUUUACGUCAACUUACUAAGCUUCAAUGAGCUUAUUUCUGUUAUUUUCUGUUCUUGUAGAUACUUUGAAGGUUGGACGGUCAGAUCGACACUCAAGUCACACUAUCCACAUAUUUUUAAUAGUUUUUGGAACACUCAUUUUUUAUUUUAUGGCAUGUAAUAGGCUUUUUUUCAUUUUUAUUGUUUUGAUAUUGUUUUUCUAUUCUUGUAGAUACUUAAAUGCAAGUAGUUAACUUAAUAUGAUAUAUGUGAACUAAGGAAGAUGUUUAAGUGCAAGUUUAUGGUAAGUGUUAUUGGAAUGUUGUAAUUGAGGUGCCUAUGAUAGGCAUAUUGGUUGAAUGUUAAAUUGUGUGAAUUAACAUACCAUGGGUGAGAGUUCAUUUUGUUGUGAAAUUGUAUAUACUUGUGGUACCAAUGAGGGUACAUUGGUUAGGCACUUAGGAUGGUUGAUUUAACAAGUUUUGAGCUUGUUUAAUGUCAUUUUAAAUAGGUCUUUUGGCUGGUAAAUGAAUUACUUAGGGUCCAAUUAAGCUUGUCAUUUAAGGUUCAUUAGGGUCUACACGGCCUGAGACACGAGCGUGUGACUCAACCGUGUGAGGCAGAUGGCUUGGCGACACAGUUGUGUGUCAUCUGAUGAUUUCUUUAGUGUGCAAGUCAGUGAGUUACAUGGUCUAACACACGGCCUGGCACACGGGCCUGUGACACGGCCGUGUAACCCUACUUAGAGAGUUACACAGGCGAGGACAUGGGCUGGGACACAACCAUUUGUCCCUAGUUUGAUAAUUACAUGGCCUGAGACACAGGUGUGUGAUUCAGCUGUGUGAGGCAGAUGACCGUGUGACCCCUGUUUUUGCAUAUUUUGCAUCUUUUUCCUAAACUUUCCAAACUGUUUCAAAUUGGUCCCAAUUUGUUUCUAGGUUAUAUUUAGAGCCUCGUGGACUCGAUUUAGGGACAAUAUGCUUGUGUAUGAAUGGUUUAUGAUGUGAUUAUAAUAUUGAAUAGUACAAUGUGCAAAUAUUUUUGAUUGUAUAGAAAUCCUCCGUAACCGUAAUCUGACGACGGAGAUGGGUUAGUGGU